AUUCGAGGAGUUUAAGGCUAAUGCAUUGCCAACUUGUGGUUAUGCCAUGCUUGCUAUUACAUCUUUCGUCGGCAUGGGAGAUAUUGUAACACCAGAAACCUUUAAAUGGGCAGCCAAUGACCCUAAGAUCAUUCAAGCUUCCACAAUUAUUUGUAGGUUUAUGGAUGAUGUUGCUGAACACAAGGUAUAAUAAUAUAUUUAAAUAAUCACAAGAAACCAAACUAUUAACUCAAUAACGAUGGUUUUUGUCACGAUUUGAAACAAUUAAAGUUUAAUGUUUAUAUAUCAAAUGUUUAGCCUUAAAUCGAAGAAUAAGAAAAGAUAUCUAGUUUCAUUUUAAAAAUAUAUAUAGUUUAACAAACGAAUAGAAUUUAGGUUAUAUAGUGAUUGAAUAAUUUUUAUUUUAUUAUGGUUGCAGUUCAAACAUAGGAGAGAAGACGAUUGCUCAGCAAUUGAGUGUUACAUGGAAGAAUAUGGUGUAACAGCACAAGAGGCAUAUGAUGUAUUCAACAAGCAUGUUGAGAGUGCUUGGAAGGAUGUGAAUCAAGAGUUUCUGAAACCAACAGAAAUGCCAACAGAAGUUUUGAAUCGUAGCUUAAACCUUGCAAGGGUGAUGGAUGUACUCUACAGAGAAGGUGAUGGCUACACAUAUGUUGGAAAAGCGGCUAAGGGUGGAAUCACUUCAUUACUCAUUGAACCAAUUGCACUUUGAAAUCGUAUUAAAUUUUCCUCUUCUGUUCCUUAAGGAAUAGUUAUUAAGUUAUAAUUAAUAAUGUUUUAUAAUAUAUAUAUUAUAAAAGAAAUUCUAAAUCAACUGUCUUUGUAUUCAUUUCCCUGUAUUGAUCUAAUAAAGUUCUUUUCAAGCUUUCAUUUGUGAAAAAUCUGCUAUUUUAUAUUUUAUAUUUUAAUUUUCCUUCUUUCGUUGCUAUAGCUUUGAACACAAAAUUUAGAGUAUGAUCCUAUCAUGCUCUUCCUUUUUACCAACAUUGUUGUCACUUUCAAUGAUUUUUCUCUUCUUCGCCAUAACAUUAUCAUCAAGAUUGCAUGUGAUAAAGUUUUGCCAUUCAGAUAGCCUUUUCAAGGCUCGCCACUAGAAGCUCACUUAAAUAGGGAUACUUGUUAAUAAAAUAUGUUUGUUGUCCUUGUUUUUAGGCAUAUAUUUGCUGCACAUCAAGGAUUUAGUGGCUACAGAUCAUGGGUUUAUUUGGUUUAGAUUUUUUUUCCUUAGUUGUUAAGAGUCCUAUUCUGAGUCGUUUGUUGUUAGUGUGCGAUUUCUUGAUUUUUCUAUCAUGUAAUUGCCUAUAUAAUAGGUUCUUGAGGUUGUGAAUAAAUGAGUUGAUCAUCUUAUUUUCCCUUUCCUUUAUUUUUUUCAUCUUGCUGUUAUCUCCUUAGUAAGCUAAUAGUUGUGUCAGAGCCUGGUAAAAGAAGAGUAUUUUCGGUGAGAGAAAAAUGUUUAUGGUCCUCUUAUGGCUUUUGAAAAUUGUUUGCAACUACCUAUUCCACAUUUUGACGGUCACUAUGACCAUUGGAGAUGUUGAUGGAGAACUUAUUAUAGUCCAAGGAGUAUUGGCAAGUCAUUAAGCACGGUAUAGCAACACCAACAGAUGGAGAAAAGCUUACAGAAUACAACAAAAAAGACUUGAAGGGGCUGAAGUUCAAAGAUUUGAAAGCAAAGAAUUACUUAUUUCAAGCUGUUUCGAUCCUAGAAACCAUUCUUUGCAAAGAAACUUUCAAGGAUAUUUGGUACUCCAUUAAGACAAAAUGUCAAGGCUCUUCCAAAGUGAAGCGUGCAUAGCUUCAAGCUCUUUGGAAGGACCUUGAGGUUCUUCGGAUGGAGGAUGGUGAGUCCAUUAUAGACUAUUGUGCAUGAACCAUGGGAAUCAUGAGUAAUAUGUGAUUUCAUGGUGAGAAGAUGAAUGACACAACCAUUGUUAAGAAGAUACUACGGUCCUCAUCACCAAAGUAUGAUUAUGUUGUCUACUCAAUUGAAGAAUCCAAUGACAUUGAUGCACUCACCAUUGAUGAACUCCAGAGUUCCUUGUUGGUCCAUAAAUAGAAGAUGAAUAGAACUUCUACCCCCAAUGGAGCAGGCUUUGAAAGCUUCAACUCAUUCUUUCAAAAGAAGAAAUGGAGGUCAAGGAAAGGGAAGAGACAGAUGAGACAGUUGGAAUAAAAAUAGUGGCAGGUAUGCCAGAUCAGAUGAUAAAGGCAAACAACAAGAUCGACAAUUUGACAAGUCAAAGGUAGAAUGUUUUGGAUGUUAUAAGUUUGGUCAUUAUUGUUUUGAAUGUCGUACUAAUCUAUCAAUGAUAAGGAAAAGGGAGAAAAGUCAAAAUUUUCAUAAAAAGAAGCUAAAACCUUGUUAAUGGCAAUUCAUGACAAGCAAGAGAAGCCACAAAACUCAUGUUUAUGGUAUGUGGAUACAGGCUGUAGCAACCACAUGUGCGGUAAUAAGUUUUCUUUCUCUUAUCUAAAUGAAGACUUUCACAUUAAUGUGCCUUUUGGAGAUAAAUCUAUUGUUGAUGUAGUGGGAAAGGGUGGUAUUAGUAUAAGAACCAAUAAUAGUUUUGUAGAAACAAUGUCCCAUGUUUUCUUUGUGUCUGCUUUGAAAACUUAUUAAGUGCUGGUCAAUUGCAAGGAAAAAGAUAUGUGAUUACGGUAUCAAAAAGUGAUUGUGAAAUUUAUGAUCCUUCUAGAGGUGCUAUUGCAGUGGUUCCAAUGAGUUCCAACAGGUUGUUUCCAUUAGUGAUUGAUUGUUUUCAACCUUGCUUGAUGGCUAAAGUGAAGGACAACACAUGGCUUUGGCAUUUUUGAUGUGGUCAUCUUAAUUUUGAGGGUUUGAAGACUCUUUGGUAGAAAGAGAUGGUCAACGACCUCCCUCAGAUUGUCAUUCAAACCAUGUGUGUGAAGAUUGUGUUGUUAGCAGACAACAUCAUGAACAAUUUCCCAAAAUAAAGUUUUAGAUAGCAAAACAUGUGCAGGAAUUGGUCCAUUUAGAUAUCUGUGGACCAAUAAAACCAUAAUCUAAUGGAGGUAAAAUUUAUUUCUUUACUUUCAUCGAUGAUUAUUUCCAAAAAUUGUGGGUUUACUUUUUGCAGGAGAAAUCGGAAGCAUUUAGUGCAUUUACUAGCUUCAAGGCACUUGUUGAGAAUGAAAUCGGGAAAACCAUUCAAGUUCUUCGCAUUGAUUGUGGUGGAGAAUAUUGUUUCAAGGAAUUUGAAGCAUUUUGUGAGAGCCAUGACAUCUGGAAAAAGCUUACCACUGCAUAUACCUCCCAAAAAAAUAGCGUAUAAGAGAGGAAAAACAGAACCAUACUUAAUAUGGUGAAAAGCAUGCUUGCUAGUGGAAGGGUCUUAAAAUAAUUUUGGGCAAAAGGAGUAAAUUGGAGCAUCCAUGUCUUGAAUAGAAGCCCAACUUUUGCUGUUCAAAACAUGACACCUGAAGAAGCUUGGAGUGGAAGGAGACCAGCUGCAGAUCACUUCAAAAUUUUUGGUUGCAUUGCUUAUGCACAUGUUCCAAAUGUAAAGAGAAAGAAGCUUAAUGUCAAAGGAGAGAAGCGUGUCUUUCUAGGUGUAAGUGAAACAUCUGAAGUGUAUAAAUUGUUUAAUCCUUUAAAGGAGAAAAUUGUGAUUAGCAGGGAUGUAAUUUUUGAUGAGGAGAAUACUUGGAAUUGGGAUGACAAACAACCUUUUCAAACCUUUGUUGGUACUGAAGUUGAAGAUGAAAAGCAGUAGCCUUUAGAUUAGUAGACUCAAGCAACACUUAAGCUUAAGAGUUCACCAAAUAAUACUCUAAUAAGUAGUUGAACCUCAUCCUAGCUAUAUUUGACGGAGACCAGCUUGGAUAGGAGAUUUUUAGGUAAUCAGCGUUGGGCAGACUGAAGAUCCAACCAUCUAUUUUGCUUUAUUUGCGGAUUGUGAUCUAACAACCUUUGAAAGUGCUGUAAAUGAGUCAAAAUGGAGAAAAACAAUGGAUGAAAAAAUUGCAGUAUAGAGAGGAAUGAUACAUACAAGUUCACUAAACUUCCAAAAAGGCACAAGACAAUUAGUGUCAAAUAGGUGUACAAGACAAAGUUGAAGGAGAAUGGAGAAGUUAAUAAGUAUAAGGCACAUUUGUGGCUAAAGGUUAUAAAUAGGAGUUUGGGGUAGAUUACAAAGAAGCCUUUGCUCCUGUUCCAAGGCAUGAUACAAUCAGAUUGGUGAUUUCACUUAUAGUCUAAUACUCUUGGCCUAUCUUCCAACUAGAUAUGAAUUCGACAUUUUUACAUGGUGAGCUCAAAGAACAGGUUUUUAUUGAACAACAUACUGGUUAUGUUAAACAUGAAAGUGAAAAUAAAGUUUAUAAACUAAAAAAAGGCUUUAUAUGGGUUGAAACAAGCCCCACAUGCUUGGUAUAGUCGAAUUGAAGCUUAUUUCUUGAAAGCUGGUUUUCCCAAGUGUCCUUAUGAGUCUACUCUUUUCAUUAAAACUGGUGAUAAAAGGAAAAUACUUAUUGUGAGUUUAUAUGUUGAUGGUUUUAUUUUCAUUGGAAAUUGUAGUUCCAUGUUUAAUGGAUUCAAGAAGUCUGAUGGUUGAGUUUAAAAUGUCAGAUCUUAGUAUGAUGCAUUAUUUUCUAGGCAUAGAAGUAGUGCAAUCAACUAAUGGAAUAUUUUUUUCUCAAAGGAAAUACAUUCAAGAUAUUCUGAGCAAGUUUGACAUGAAGGAUUGCAAUCUAGCAAGCACCACCAUUGAGUUUGGCUUGAAGUUGAGCAAAGAAGGAAAGUAAGUGGACAACACUUUUUAUAAGCAGAUUGUAGGCAAUUUAAUGUACUUGAUUGGUACAAGACCUGACAUAAUAUAUUUUGUGAGUUUGAUCAGUAGGUUUAUGGAGAAUCCUACAGAGAUGCAUUUAUUGGUUACUAAGAGAAUCCUUCGUUACUUGCAAAGAACCAUAUAUUUUGGGUUGUUUUACAAAAAAGGAGAAUUUUAAUAUCUAUUUAGGUUCAUUGACUGUGACUGUAGGAGAUCUAGAUGAUAGAAAAAACACUUCAGUUUAUGUUUUCAUGAUGGGAAUCGGAGUUGUUUCAUGGUCAUCCAAGAGGCAAUCUAUUGUUCCUUUGUCAACAACUGAAGCUGAAUUUGUUGUUGCAACAACCUGUGCUUGUCAAGCUAUUUCGUUGAGAAAAAUCUUGGAGGAGCUGAAAUUCAAGAGAAUGGGAGCUACAAUAAUUUUUUGUGACAACAACUCAGUUAUCGGAUUCUCAAAAAAUCCAGUAUUACAUGGUAGAAGCAAGCAUAUUGAUGUGAAGUACUAUUUUUGAGAGAUCUUAACAAUGAUGGGGUAGUUGAUCUUAAAUGCUGCAAGAGUAAAGAUCAGCUGGAUGACAUAUUCACCAGACCUGGCAAAUUAUUUCCCUUAUUGUGAGUCCUAUUGUGAGCCUUAUUAUGUUAGUGCCUAAUUUCUUGAUUUUUCUGUUAUGUAAUUGCAUAUAUAAUAGGUUUUUGAUGUUGCGAAUAAAUGAACUGAUCAUCUUAUUUUCCCUUUCCUUUAUUUUUUUCAUAUUGCUGUUAUCUCUCUUAGUAAGCUAACAGCACCUUCACCUCUUUAAGCCCUACCAUUAUCAACUUGCCCUUUAGAAUCAGUGCUACAAAGCUCUCCUUUCAAACUCACCAAGAAGCUCCACCAACAAAAUGUCUACACCAUCAACAUCACCUCUCUAGGCAAGCCAAUGACAACACAUUACACCUUGCCCAAAAAUAUUAUCUCAUGGAAGGCCACUUUAUAAUCUCUUGCUCAAUUGCAAUAGAGGGGUGAUCCACCCAAGCACACUUACAUAAAAAUGGAACAAAUAAAAUCAAUUAUAUCAACAACGUAGGCACCACAUUAUCAUAAGCAUGAUGGUGUCAAAUUAUAAUAUAGUAGUUACAAUGGAACACUUACAUAAGUACUCCAAGGAUCAUUCUUCCACAUGGAUUGAUAAAGGAAGUCCAUAACCAAACAAACAAAUUUGGCCAUUACAAAUACAAUGAGGUAAACUUAAAUGAUCUUUGAAUAGUUAGGUGACCAAAGGGUAAACUUACUAGUUGUUGAGUGGCUAUAAGUGUAGUUUACCAAUUCUUUAAUGUUUAAGAUUACUUUUGUUUAAAUCUUACCUUUUUGCUUCAAAAUUAUUGGUGUUCUUGGUUGGUUGAAAAACUAGAGGAAUGGGAGGAAGGAGUGGAAAAGUGGAAAGAAAAUAAAAUUUAAUUGUACUUCGUAGGGAAUAAAAGUGAGAGAAAAGAAAAUAGGAGAGAUAAUCAUUUUUCAUCUUAAUGCAUAGAAAUCAAUCCUUCCAAAUUGGAAAGAUGAGAGGAGAGAAUAUUAUAAAGAUGUGUAUGUUAGUUUAAAAUUAUGCUAUUUUCUUUCAUUUCAUUUUUUAACUCUAUCAAACAAUAGAGGGAAAGAAAAUUACUUUGUUUUUCCACUUUUUCAUUUCUCCUAUCAAACACAACUACGGAAAGAAAAUUUAUGUUUUCCAUCCUUCUAAUUUUCAACCCCUUCAAUAUUCCAUCUUUCCAAUUUUCUUUCCACUCCAACAAGCAAAGCGAAAAUGUCUAGAGACAAAAUUGUUGACUUUUAUAAUUGUUAUAACAAACGUCGAUAAUGACAAUAGCAUGAUCGCAAAGUAUGAAAAAAAUAAGAACACACAGAUUUUACGUGGAAACCCUUUCGGGAAAAAACUACGGACAAAGGAGAAGAAAUUUACUAAUGUUGAAAAACGAAUAAUACAGGAGAAGUUUCGACUACAUCUAUUAAAAAGGUUAAAAAAUCCUAUUAUAAUCAAUAUCAAAUAGAAUAAAUAUAGUUCUUCAACAAGUGACGGGAUUUGGGUCACACAAACUCUAACAAUAAUUAAUGAAUUAAUUUAGUCUUUUACUUCAUAAUACAAUGACCCACAUUGUGAAAUUUCCAUUUCUGUUUUAGAAAAUUUCUAAAAAAAAGUUGUUUAGAAAUAAUCUUCUCAUGAGUUGUAAGUAAAAAAUCCAGUAAUAUUAUUAAAUAUUUAGUAAUAUUACAAGAAAUCUGUAUUCCUAAUAUAAGUAGCUUUGUAAAAGACUUAGUAAUUUACAUUGUAAGAAAUUCAAUAAUUUAUUGAAAAUGUUACAAUGUUGUAGCAAAUUCAGUAUUUUAAGUAGCCCACACUAAAUCUUUUUUAAAAUUACUGAAUUUAUAAUAAUUACUGAAUUACUUACAUGAUUACCAAAAAAAACUUCAACUAUUACUGAAUUCAUUAUGACAUUUUUUAUUUAUCUAAUUUCUUAAGGAAUUCUAUCAGUAAUUCAAUAAUUCUUUAAGAGUUUUAGUAAUUCAGUAUUUUUACGAAAUUUAGUAAUUUACGAAAUUAUGAAAAAUUAGGUAAACAUUAAAAUGUUUUAAGAUAUUCAAUAAUUGAUUUAGGUUAUUCAAUAUAUUUUAAUUUUAAUUUUAGUUUGGCCAUAAUAAGCACUUUUGUUCCUUGGGUUUGUGGGUUUGCUGCAAAUUAGAAAGGUUUCAUCAAUUUUUUAUUUAUUUCUCUAGGUUAUUAGAGUGAAUUCAAUAAUUAAUCCUCCACAUUCAAUAGGUCCAUUAAGGGGUAGAUGCGGACAACGAGUUUUAAAAUUACUCCAUACCCAGGAUAAUAAUUGAACAUUGGGCCACUGGUUAAGAUAGAAGAGACCCUUAACAUCUCAUUUAACUCCUGUGGCUAAAGGGUUCGUUAAUUUUAACAAUAUGUUUUAAGCUUCGUUAUGAGUUAACCCUUCACUCUCCUAGCUACAGAACUAAACUAAAGCAUCAACUUCUAGCUCCCCUUACCAUCAUGCAAUGGUCAUUUCGUGCUUUCAUAAAAUAAAAGUCCAUUUCAAAAGAGAGAAAUCUGAAUAAAAGAUUCAUCAUUAGCAAUAAAAAACAUGAAGAAAUUGAGAAGAAAACAAAAGAAAGAAAAGAGACAUGCCCAUUUCAGAAGGUGGAAAGCCUAAACUUUAGUUUAGAUUUUUAGGGAUUUCUAAGAAGUUUUUUUUUCGAAAAUCAAGCAAAGGAUUGGAUUUGAAAUUUUAGUUUUUUUUUCAUAUAUAUUUUAGUUUUUUUAAAAUUUUUAUAUCAUUUUUAUUUAAAAAUUUUUAGGAACUAUAAAAAAGAAAUAUAUAUAUAUAGUGAUUAGUUCUGCAAUUCAACUUAAAUUUUUCAUCUAACAUAAUUACUUAACAUGUUACGUUAGCUUACUGUUAUUUUAUUAAUGAUAAUUAAUAGCUCAAUAACUAGAUAUUACAAAUCGAUAACGUUAGUGACCAUUUUGUAACAAAUUAAAAUCCAAUGACUAAAAUGUAAUUUAAACCAUAGAUAAAUGAAUAUUUUUAUAAUUUAUCCUAUAUAAUAUUAUAUAUAUGUACCUCAAGAAAAAAAAAUAUCAUACAUAUGCACGCCAAACUAUAUAUAUAUUUAAUGUUAAGUUUCUAAUAUACAAUAUUUAUAAUAUUUAUAAAAAUUAAAUUUUAAGUUUAAAAAUUAUGAAAAAUUUUAAAAAUCUAAAAGUUUCAAACUACACCAACUGACCACAUGCUUGUUGGAAAUACUUAAAUUCAAUGCACAAUAAAAUACUAAAAAGAAAGGAGUUAAUAUAUGUUAACUUUGUUGAUGUGGUAUAUAUGUAAAUUACUAUGUGAAUGAAAUCUCAACAAUUAAAAUUUUUAAAUUUUAGAAAGUUUAACCAAAUAUAUAAAAAAAUAUUUUAAAAUUUAAAAUCAUUUUAAAAAUUUUAAAAAUAUAUUUUAAAAAUUUUAAAAAUUAAUUAAUUGUUAACGUGGCACAUACGUGGAUGCCAUAGUAAUAAAGUUAACAAACAUUAAUUUUUCCAUCCAGUUUGGGAUGAUUUGACAAACAAUGCAAAUUCAAGAGCUAAAAGAGACGAAAAAUUAAAUGAAGAACUAAAAUGACAUUUUAUAAAGUUGAAGGGCUAAAUAAAUUAUUAUGCUUUUUUAAUAACCGUUAUUUCUUUCUUUUUUUUAACAUGCCAAAUUUAAAAUAUGUAUAUUAAAUAUUUAAUUUUAUAUUGUGUGCGAAAUUAAUUGAUUUGGUUUAAUAUAAAUAAAAAUGUAAUACUUAAUUACUCAGUAUUAGAUAAGUUUACUAUCAAUUAGUAAAAAGUAAUUAUAAUAAGUGAAAGUUAUUUUUAGAAUUUAAAGUUUAUCCAAAUGAAUUAUUAAUGCCAUUAGUAGAACUACGAAUGCACAAUAAGGGAAGAAUAUAUCAAUUUUAUUGAUAAAUCUAGACGCCUUUAGUGAAAUUUGCUGAUUCCCUUUGAAUAUUGUUUUUAAAAUUAUGAGUUCCAAAUAUAAAAUUCUAGUAUUGACUGAAUCAUACAACUAUAGAAUUCAAUUUGAAAAAAAUAUGUUAAAUUAAUUGUGAAAAAUACCUUAUUUAAAGAGUCAAGCCGACAUUUUUUUUUUCUUUCUUUUUAUUAUUAUAAAUAUGAAGUAAACAAACACCUGUUAAAUAAUUAUAUUCAUGUUGAAAUUAAAGCGUCCGGUGAAUUUAAAAAUUCUUUUUAGAGGGCCUGAAAAUGAAUUAUAUAUCGUUUCGAUAGUAAAAAAGUAAUUUCAUCAUUUUAAUAGUUUAUAUCUUUAUAAUUUUUAAAGAAUUAAAUCAAAAUUUAUUAUUUUUAGGGUCAAAGUACAAUUUUAUCAUUACUAAUUUGAAAUUUUAUAAAUUAUAAAAAACUUUAAAUAGAAAAUUUUCCAUUUUAAGGGGAACCGAAAUUCCUCUGGCUCCGCCCGACACACAUCACAGUUGCACAUAAUUAAUUAAUAGAUUAAAUCUUAUUACAUGUUUCUCAUUUUUAUUUCUUAUUUCAACGAAUUCAUCGUCACUAAGAUUGACUAAUUUGUCCUUUACAAUGAUCCAAAAGACUUUUCAACACUCUCAGUCUAAGGGGUUCCUCCGGAGUCCGUAUAUUAUGUUUCAAGUCAAUAAUUUUACUGUUUUUUUAUGGAUGCUGAAAAUAUGAUCAAUGUGCCCCUUUUCCCCCCUUAAAUUAUCUCAUUAUGCUGAAAAUUAUGUUAAAUUAAUUGUGAAAAUAUGUUAUUGAAAUAGUCAAGCCUUUUUUUUAAUGCUUUUACUAUUAUAAUGGCAGUACACUUGCAAAUAUAAAUUCAUGUUUAAGGCAAAGAAUUGAAAACAAUUCAUCAUUAGAUAUUUAUGAGUUAAAAGUUGGGUUGAGUCGAGAUCUAGUUUAAAAUAUUUUUCAAGUUUAAGUCUAUUUUCGGGUUAAAAAUUAAUAAAAUAUUAAAAAUAAAUUUUUAAUUGUUAUUUUAUAUAAUUUUAGAAUUAAAUUUUAAUUUUAAAAUAUUUUUUAUUAUUUAAAUUGAAUUCAAGUCAGGCCGGUUCGAACUGCAAAAAUUCUUGUCCAAAUCUGAUCUAAAAACUAAACUCAAUUACCCAAAUUAUUUAAAUUAUUUAUACUAUGUUAAUUAGCAAUUUAAAAAAUUUGUAAAAGUUGAACGUCGACAAUAACAAUAUAGAACGAUUGCAAAGCAAAAGAAAGAAAAAAUAAGAACACGAAGAUUUUACGUGGAAACCCUUUCGGGAAAAAAAGACCAUGGGUAGAGGAAAAAAAAAUUCACUAAUGUCGAAUUCGAAAGAUACAAGAGGAGUUUAGACUACGUCUAUUUAUAGGUUGAAAAAUCUUAUUCUAAUCAAUGUCAAAUUAUUAAAGAGUAGUAAGGUUAAAAAACCUUAUUCUAAUCAAUGUAAAGUAAAAGAAGUAUAGUUUUAUAUGAAUUUUAUUUUAUUUUUAUUUUAACAAGGACUCAAGUCACUCAACUCUAACAAUCUCCACCUUGACAUGAAUUCUCAACGAACAAGUUCUUCACCACGAACUCUUAACGAACAAGUUCUCCACCUAUCCCACGAAACCCUUUAAAGGGUGUUCUUCAACAAUGAAUACCAGUCAAGUCCAAGCAAUACUCAAACUUCUUGGUUAUAGGAAGUGGCUUAGUCAUCAUAUCCGUAGGAUUUUCAUGAGUACUAACUUUGCUCACAACAAUAUCACCACAAGCAAUAAUAUCAUGCACAAAAUCAUACCGAACAUCAAUAUGAUUUGUUCUCUCAUGAAACAUUUGAUCCUUCGUAAAGAAGAUGACACUCUGACUAUCACAAAACACUGUAUUGAUCUGAAGGUCUUUACUGAGUUCACCAAAGAGUCUCUUUAACCAAAUAGUUUUUUUACAAGCCUCGGUAAUCGCCAUGUACUCAGCUUUAGUAGUAGACAAAGCAACUGUAGUUUGCAAAGUAGCUUUCCAACUGAUUGUGCAACCUCCAAUUGUAAAGACAUACCCUAUGAGAGAUCUUCUUUUAUCAAGGUCUCCAGCAAAAUCAGAAUCAACAUAUGUAAUGACUCCAUCCCUAGUUCUUCCAAACUAUAAGCAAACAUUAGUAGUACCUCAUAAGUAUAUGAAAAUCCACUAAACUAUUUUCCAGUAUUCUUUAUUGGGAUUCGCCAUGUAUCUACUAAUUGCACUAACUAUACAUGACAAAUCUGGACAUGAGCAAACCAUAGCAUACAUGAGAGAUCCCAUUGCACUAGAAUACUGAUUGCAAAGACAAAACCGAUGAAAGUCUAAAGUGGGUUGCUAAUAGGGUCCUAAUAGGCUUGGCAUUCUGCAUAUUGAACAUGCAAAGAACUUUUUCAAUGUACCAUUUCUAACUUAGGUACAAUUUACAUGCUUUUCUAUCUCUGAGAAUCUCCAUCUCAAGUAUCUUCUUUACUGCUCCCAAACCCUUUAUCUCAAAUUCUUUAUUAAGUUGGGCUUUGACCUUUCUUAUCUCUUAUUUAUCUUUGGCUGCUAUCAACAUGUCAUCAACAUAGAAGAGUAGAUACACAAAAGAACCAUCACUGUUUUUCUUAAAAUAAAAACAACUGUCAAAGUUGCUUCUUUUGAAAUCAUGAGGAGUCAUAAAAAAAUCGAACCUCUUGUACCACUGCCUUGGUGACUGUUUCAAGCCAUAAAUGGACUUUUUCAACAAGCAAACAUAGUCAUCCUUUUCUGAUACAGUAAAAUCUUCUGGUUAUUGCAUGUAAAUAUCUUCCUCAGAUUCCCCAUGCAAGAACGUUGUAUUUACAUCUAACUACUCAAGCUCCAAAUCAUACAUGGCCACAAUACCAAAUAAGGCUCGAAUCGAAGUAUGUUUCACAACUGGAGAAAACAUAUCUAUGAAGUAUACACUUGAAAUCUGACUAUAACCUUUUGCAAUCAGCCUUGCUUUAUACAUGGGUUCUUCAACUUCAGAGUUCCUUAUUUCUUUUUGAACACCCAUUUACAACGAACAACCUUUUUACCUUUAGGAAAUCUUACUAGAUCCCACGUUCUAUUCUUAUAGAGCGAUUCCACCUCUUCUAGCGUGGCAAUCAUCCAUUUUCUUAAAUCUUCACAAUUAAUUGCCUCAGAAUAAGUAGAUGGCUUUUGAUUUGCAUCUAUAUCUUUAGCCACAUUUAAAGCAUAAGCAACUAGGUCGACCUCAACGUACCUCUUUGGAGGUUUAAUUUCUCUUCUAGGUUUAUUCUUGGUAGUAGAAUAUUGUGGUGAAGAACAACUCUACUCUAAGUUUUUAUACUAACUUAAGUGUUGGAUCACCAGCACCCCUAUGGCGCAGCGAAAAAAAUUAAAAUCGGCGACCCUAACCAUGGAUCCAUGUGUGAAGAACGAAUCGGGGUGAAAAGAUUACGAAAUUACCUAAUAUUUCGAUUAAGAAGAUAGUAACUUCUCGACAAUGUGUAGUCUGAUUUACAGUCAAACCAAGCCGCAAUCUAUCGAGACUCCAACCUCUACGUAAUCCACCCAGUUGACUACGAACGGAAGAAAAUCCCCAAAACAGUUUUGAGAGUUAUAUUUUUUUACGGCUGCUAGACCUUAAAAUAAUGAAAAACGGGAUUCUAAUAUAUCUCUUUUAUUUUUAGGGUUUUUAGGAAUUAAAUAAAUAUAAUAAUAUUUUAAACCGAAAAUUUUAAUUACAUUAAUUAUAAUAUAAUUUCGGUAAACCAUAUAUUUAUUUAAAUUCAUAUGCUAAUCAAAUUCAUGUCCUCAUUAUGCGUACAACAACCUUGUACAUAAUGUGUUGGAAAUUUGAUUACUGAAUUAAAUUAAUUCUAUAAUUAAUUUAAUUCAAGUGACACCCAAAAAUAAAACCAACUAUGGUUUAUUCCGUUCAUUUCAACUAUAGUGUGUGACCUUGUAGGUUCUUGUAACGUUAGCAGUAAUACUAGAACGAUUCCAAUGUUACAAACAAUGAGUGGCAUCUAGCAAUGCAUCAUUCUACCUAAGUCACAAGAGAUCAUGAUUCGACAUAACCUUUUAUGAUUAACCUUUUAUGCAAUAAUCCUUAAGUCCUUUAUCUCUGGAUUGGACACAAGUCAUGGAAUAGUCACACUUGUAUAGUCCAUUCCAUGUUCCUUGAUAUCUUAAGCAGACUACGAUAUACACAUAAGUAUGACAUCUCAUAUCAACUUAUUUGAGCAUGGCCAUGCAUUUCUAGUCUCACUUAAUCAAGUGGCCUAAGAUAUUACUCCCAUUAUGUAGGAGGGACUUAUUCUAUAUCGACCAACCAUAUCCCUCUACAUCGAUUGUGAUAUAUCCAACAUCAGCCUUUAUAGAACAACCAGUUACGGUGUACGUUUAACUGUAUCAAAAUAUAUUACUCACGAUGUUGGGAUUAUGAUGAUCUCAAGUCUGAGGAUCAUAUACAUAUUAAUCACUAUGAGUAAUGUCGUGACAAUUACAUAAUAAUCCAAGAGANNNNNNNNNNNNNNNNNNNNNNNNNNNNNNNNNNNNNNNNNNNNNNNNNNNNNNNNNNNNNNNNNNNNNNNNNNNNNNNNNNNNNNNNNNNNNNNNNNNNAGUCCAAUAUGUUGUUCUCUAACACACAUAUUCAUGCAUCGAUUCUGACAUUCCAUAUCAAUGACAACUCUUUAUCAUCAAUCAACUACAUGUUAGUCUUAAUGCAUUAUCCUUGUCCUAUCCAACAAUAAUACUUGACUAAGGAUCUUUUAAGAAUAAUCAUAUUAUUCUUAGGACAUUAUUAUAAAACAGCUUAUUUAUACACACAGAAAAGAAACUGAAAUAAUAAUGGUAACGCCUUAUAUUAAUAAACAUGAUAAAUCAAGUAUGUUAUUACAAUCAUCUCAUGAUUGGUCUUUGGGCAUACUCUAACAUUAAGAAGUAGACUCUGUUAUAGAUCCUGGAUCAAUCUGAAGCUCCACCUGUUUUUCCUGGUUAUUAUUGGAAGAGUUUUUAAGAGAUAAGUUAGGUAGCAUAGCAGUUUCAUAAAAAAAUAAUAUCUCUGCUAAUCACAACUUUUCUAUUUUCAGGACACAAUAAUUUAUAUCCUUUAACACCAGCCUUAUAACCAAGAAAAAACACAUUUAAUGGAUCUAGGUUCUAAUUUCCCACUAUCAACAUGAGCAUACACAGGACACCCAAAAAUUCUCAAAUUAGAAUAAUCAGUAGGAUUACCAGACCAUACAUUUUGUGGAGUCUUUUUCUCAAUGGCAACGAACAGAGACUGGUUAAUCGAAAAACAUGCAGUACAGGCCACUUCAGCCCAAAAUGACUUCGGUAAACAAGCAUUCGAUAACAUACAUCAAACUUUUUCCAUGAUUAUUCUAUUCAUCCAUUGUGCAAUGCCGUUUUGCUGUGGAGUAUGACGAACUGUCAAGAGUCGCAUGAUUCCUUUUGAUUUGCGCAAUUUAAUAAACUCAUCAAAACAUAAUCCCAUGCCAUUAUCUAUACGGAGGUGUUUUAUCUAUUUUCCUGUCUAGUUAUUGAUCAUAGUUUUCCAAGCCUUAAACACAAAAAACACAUCACUUUUCUGCAAAAAUCAUCAAUGAUUGUUAUCAUAUAAUUAGCGUCACCCUUCGAAGGCACUCUGGAUGUUCCCCAAAGAUCAGAAUGAAUAUAAUCCAGCAUUCUCUUCAUGUUAUGGAUUCCUCUAGUGAAUCAAACUCUCUUUUGCUUCCUAAAAACGCAGUGCUCACAAAACUUUAGUUUGCUAAUGCCUUGUCCAUCAAAAAGUCUUCUUUUGCUUAAUUCUACCAUGCUAUUCUCACUCAUAUGCCCUAGACAUAUAUGUCAAAGUCUAGUAACAUAAUCAUCUAACAAGGAAGAGGAAGCGACGGCUGCAUCACCAGUAACAGUAAAACCUUGCAAAACAUAUAACUUGGCAAUCUUUCUCUGCCCUUUCAUCACAAUGAGGGAAUCCUUACUAAUCUUUAGAACUCCACUUUCAGCUGUGCACUUGUGCCCUUUUGAAUCAAGAGUACUCAACAAAAUCAAAUUCCUCUUCAAUCAUGGUAAAUGUCAUAUUCCACUAAGUGUUCUGAUGACUCUAUCGAACAUUUUAAUUUUGAUCGUGUCAAUACCUGUGAUUUUACAUGAAGCAUUAUUUCUCAUCAAAACAACACUUUCAGACACAAUUUCAUAGGUUGUAGACCAAUCUCGAUUUGGACUCAUAUGGAACGUACAAUCAGAAUCGGGGAUCCCCUCCUCGCUCACUUUAAAUUUGUUGGCAAAAAUAACUAGAAGUUCACCAUCACUGUAGUUUUCUGCUACAUCAGCUUCACCGGAUUGUUCUGGUUGUUUUCCCUUUUGAUUCACAAUCUCCCUUUUGAUCUUGUUUUACAACUUAUAGCACUUAGAUUUAAUGUGCCCUUUCAUCUUGCAAAAGUCACAGGUUUUACCUUUGUUUGAAGAUCUUGAUCUACCCUUAAAUUUGCUGCUAGGAUUUCGCUCUUAUGUCCUCUAACGAUUAUCAUCAGUAUUUUGUUCUUGUCUACCACGAACAGUGAGACCCUUUCCCUGAGAGUCGGAUCCAACUACAGGAUGUUUCAUCUUGUCAUACGAGGCUAAAGGAGCAUAGACUUCAUCAACUGUGAUAGAUUCACAACUAUACAAAAUCGUAUCUCUAAAGGUUGAAUAAGACGGGGUAACGAAUAAAGUAGAAUUAAACCUAAAUCUUCUUUGUCAUACUAAACCUCCAUGGCCUCUAGGUCAGAGAGAAUUUUUUUAAACACAGUUAAGUGUUCGUGUACAGACGCACCUUCCUCCAAAUGAUAAGCAUAAAGACGCUGGUUAUAUGCAACUUGCUAGUUAAGGUUUUCGACAUGUAUAAUUGUUGCAACUUUGCCCGUAAUGCACCGACGAUCUUCUCAUUCAUCACGCCCUGUAGAAUUUCAUUUGACAAAUGGAGAUGUAAUUGUGUUAAAACCUUUCGAUCUUUACGUUUCUUCUCCUCCUCUGUCAAUGUCGAAGGCAUCUUAUCUACCCCUAGCAAGGCAUCCUCUAACUCCAUUUGCGCAAGAACUGGCUGCAUCUUUAUCUGCCAUAGUGCGAACCAGGUGUUGUGAUCUAGUAGUGGAAUAUCAUACUUCAAUGUCGCCAUUACCAUGAUCGAGACAAACAACCCGAAAAGCUCUGAUACCAGUUUGUAAAAGUUGAACGUCGACAAUGACAAUAUAAAACAAUCACAAAUCAAAAGAAAGAAAAAUAAGAGAACACAGAUUUUACGCGGAAACCCUUUCGAGAAAAAAACCACGAGUAGAGGAGAAGAAAAUUCACUAAUGUCAAAUUCGAAUGAUACAAGAGAAAUUUAGACUAUAUCUAUUUAUAGGUUGAAAAACCUUAUUUUAAUCAAUGUCAAAUAGAUGAAGUGUAGUAAGGUUGAAAAACCUUUUUCUAAUUAAUGUAAAAUAAAAGAAGUAUAAUUCUAUAUGGAUUUUACUUUUAUUUUAAUUUACCACUGUAUUUUAUUUUAACAAGGAUUCGAACCACUCAACUCUAUAUAUAUUUAAAAUCAUUCAAAUUUGAAAAAAUAAAUUAAAAUUAAAAAUAUUUUGUUGAAAAUCUGAAAAUUAUUUUUAAAAAGUCCCCCUCAUCUUCUUCAUCUAAAAGAAUGAAGAUUUUCACUGUCAUUUUUUUAUUUACUUAAAACUCUCAGAUCGUAAAAGAUUACUUUUUGUGCAUCCAAAUGAAAAACCCUCAACCAUCCCUUGUAGAAAAGAGAAGACUUGAAGCAAAUGGCACAAAUUCGAUCCGUUUGCGCUUUAAUUUCUAGCGAAAAGUUGGCUAUGUAACAUCAUCAAAACCAACCCUAAUAAAAUUUCUAACAUAGACAUAUUUUUUUAUUUAACUGCGAUUUGUUAUUUAGAAAAUCAUGGUUAUAAUAAAAUUUUAAAAUCAAUUAAAAUUCAUUAAAAUAAUUUUUUAUCUACGAAAUCAAAAUCUAAAUUAGAAAUUAACUGUUAUGCAUGAAGAAGCUUAAUACUAUUUUUGGUCUUUGUACUAUAGUGAAAUUCUUAUUAUGGCCUUUUAUUAUUUUUUGGUCAGAUUGUUUUCUCUAUUUCCAUUUCGUCACUAAGUUCGCCCUUUUAGCAAGUUUCAUUAAAAAUAUUAAAUCCACGAAUGACUUGCUGUGCCACAUUUAAAAAAAUUAAAAAUUUUACUUAAAAAAUUAAAAAUCCAAAAUAUCUCAAAAAUAACAAAAAUUUGAAAACAUAGAAUUUUUUUUUAAAAUAUCCUAAUCUACUUUUGAAAAUUAUAAAAAUUAUUUUUUUACAAAAAAAUUAUUUAAAAAAAUAAGAACUCAUUUAAAUUCCACAAAAAUCAUAAUUUUUUUAAAAGAGUCCCAAAAAUCUUAAAACACAAAAAAAUUAUAAGAUCUUAAUCUAUUUCAAAUUCACUUAAAAUUUAAAAAAUAUAAAAAAACUAAAAUAAAUCAUUAAAAUUCCCCAAAAAAACAUAAUUUUUUUUAAAUCCAGAAAAAUCUUAAAAUUCUGAAAUUUUAAAAAAAAUCAAAAUAUUAAUCUAUUUCAAAUUCACUUAAAAUUUUAAAAAUAUAAAAAACUAAAAAAUAUUAAAAUUCCAAAAAUAUAUAUAUUAAAAAAACACCCCCAAAAAAUCUUAUAACUUUGAAAAUUAUAAAAUAAACUUUUAAAAAAUCUUAAUCUAUUUUUGAAAAUUAUAAAAAAGAAAACCUAAACUUAUAAGUAUGCAGAACUUCAAGAAAAUAAAAAAAUCAUAAAAAUAUAAAAAAUGUUUUUCUUUUUUGAAUUUAGGGUUUUAUAAAAAUAUAGAAUUUUAUGAAAAAUUUUAAGAAUUUUAUGGUAAUUUUUACUUAGGAUUUCCAAAAAAAAAAAAAAUCCCAUAAAUUUCUUCUAAAUUUUAAUAAAAUUCCAAAAUUUUAUAAAAACCUAAAAUUUUCUACAAACCUAAAAUUCCAAAAAGAAACUCAUUUUUUUUAACUUUUUUUCAAAGUUUCGCAUGCUUAUACUUUUUUUUUUCAAAAAAUAUAGUUUUGAAAAAUAUAUUAAGAUUUUUUUAGUUUUUUUAUUACUUUUCUAUGUUUUUAUAAAAGAACCAAAGUGAGAAUUUCAGAUAUUAAGCCAAAAGAUAUUACCUUUUAUUUGAGUUUAUUUAGAGUGAGAUUUCACCGUAUGCAAACAAAAGAGAAUUACAAUACAAAGCAGAUCCUCUCUUUUCCUCCUUUCUUUUUCCGUAGUUUUCUUCUUCUUCUUCUUCUUCUUCUUCUUCCUCUCUUGUAAACUUCUUUUCUUUCUCCUUUACAUGCUUCACUGUUCUCUUCACCUCUCUCUUUUUUCUUCUUACCUUUUUUUGCUUUUCCAUGCAAAAUGAGGCAGGAGGCCAUGCCACCCUUAAAUGUUAAUAACACUGACAAAUAACAUAAUAAUCUAAACUAAAAAAUUAAUAGUCAAAAUCCAAAAUAAAAUCGAGCUAUGAAAGUGUAGCAACAUUCAACUUAGAUUUUUCAAAUUAAACCUAACCCUAGAAUUCAGAUUUAUUGAAAGUGACUUUAAAAUUAAGUUUAGCCCGGAUAAAAAUAAUACCUAUAAUAUAAAUAAUAUUUUUUAAUUAUUUUUUAAUCAAAUUGAUGUUUGAUUAAUGGGUGAUACCGAUACAAAAAAUUUAAAUAGAAACAUAAAUUCUAAUUUAAAUGUUUUAAAAGAAAAUACUAAUUGUUCAAGACUGUAUUUAAUUCAGUUCGUUUUUCUUCGAUUUGUCCUUCUAUUAGAUGAAAAAAAAACUAAUAAAACGACUCGUAAAUUAAUACAUAUUAAUAUUUUUAUUUUUAUCGUGUUAUUGAAAACUAUGGGAUAUUUUACUUUUGAAUUUCAUAUAAAUAUUAAAUGUGCAUAUAAACUCUUCAAGGAUAAUUUAAUUAUUAUUUAAUAAGAAAAUUUUAAGGUAAUAAAAAUUGUAUGUGAGAGAACCCGAUGUGAUGGCUCGAGCUGAUGUGAGUUUCUUUAUUGGCCUAAUAAUAAAUUUAGUCUUCUAAUAUUUACACGUUCUACCCAAGUUUGGAAGUUACUGAUGAUGAUAUGUCCAAGUAAAAAAAAAGGCGAAAAAAAACAAAUUUUCUAUGUUUUGAAAGAUUUCGCAUUUCAUUGUUUCCUCUAUUUGAAUAUUAAGUAUUUGUACAUUUUUUAAAUAAGAAAAACAUGGAAAUAAUUAUUUUGUAAUUGUUUAAAGAAUUGUUAAUUUAUUUAGAGGAAUUGAUUCUUAGAUUAUAUGAUAUUAAUCUAAAAUAUGACACUAAAAUAGUUGGAUUUAAGCCAACUUGAUUUUUUACCAUAUUCAAAAAGGCGAUAUUAAUUUAAAAAGAGCACAAUACAAAUAGUGUUAAAUACUCUUCUUGUUUAGUAUAUUUUGGAGGUACGUUAAAGAAUAUUUAAAAAAAUUUAAAUACUUUCCAAUUUUCUAUUGAAAUUUUUAGAAUUAGAACUAAACUGACAAAUUCUGUGAUGGCUAAAUUUAUUGAUUUUUUUUAGAAUUCGAACUAAAAUGACAAAUUUUGUAAACAUUUAGGGCUAAUUUUGUUGAUUUUGUUUUAGAUUUAGGAUCAAACUGAUAGAAUGUGUAAAUAUUGGAGGCUAAAUUUGUUAUUAGAUCAAUAAAAAGGGCUUACCGAGCUUUUCAUCACUCAUCUAACAACAACUAACGAGAGAGUGACUAAAAUAUUUAAUUUCAAAAAAUUGAGUGGCAAAAUGGAAAAAAAAAUCAAUAGUCAGGUGACCAAAUAGAACCGAAGGCAUAAUUGGUGACUAUUGUUGUAGUUUACCCUUUUAGUAAUUAAAAUUAAUUUCUUUCAAUAAGUUCAAAUAAUAGAAAAUAAUUAUUUGAUAAUUAAAUGAAGAACUACAUUGGUAGUCACUCAACUAUUAGUAUUUUUUUUUGUCAUGCAACUAUGAAACUUUACAAAAAUGGUCAAUAAUUAUUCAACUUUUUUCUAUUUGGUCAACCAACUACCGGCCAUUAAUUUAUACAUUGUGUCAAUUUAGUCUUGAUUCAAAAAAAAUUAACCCUCAACAUUUACACAUUGUGUCAUUUUUUUUUGCAGUUUUACUUUUAUUUGUGACAUUGAGGGUUAAUUUUAAAAGAAUGAGAAAAUAUGAAAAUUAUUAUCUUGGAUUUUGGGUGUUUUCAUUUUUGAUAUAUUUCCGAUUAAAUUUAGUUGAUAGAUUGUUUUUCUUAGCUUAUUAGGUGAAAGGGUCACAAAGAAAAACAAAGAAAAAAUACCAAAUUACAUCAUGUGUAAACACUGAGGGUCACAAUGUAUAAAUGUUGAGUGCUAAAGUUGCUAUUAUGCCAAUUUUAAAAGUUAUACGUCACCUUUUAUUCAAUCAUUCAACGACUAGUGAAAACGAAAAAACCAAAUAGUUGAGUGACCACUUCGUAACUUUUCAUAAUUGGGUGGCUAAAAAAAGAAAAGUACUAAUAGUUGGAUGACUUGAAAUGUAAUUUACCCUUAAAUAAAACAAUGGAUAAUUUGUGAUUGGUGUCCCAAAAUUAUAAAAAAGAAACUAUAUUUGCUAUAAGAAAGGUUAUAUCAACUAGAUAGACUAUAGUGGACAUUAAAUGACGUACCAUAAAAAAUAAAAAGAAAAGAACAAACAACUUCAAAACCUAUAUAUAUAUAUAUAUACAUAUAUAUAUAUAUAUAUUAUUUAAAGGUUGUAUUCUUUUGACUUAAAAAGAAUAAUUGAGGCUAAAGAGAUUGCAAUGAUUUAAGCAUGUUAUUCAUGACUAUAAUGUUUUGGAAAAAUAUAUAAUAUUAUACUUUUUGUAAAAUCAUAAGGAGCGUUAAUGAUUGACAAGUAUCUUAUAAGAAUAUAGUAAAUUUUUUUAAAAAAUACACAUUAUAGUUUUUUAAGACUGUUUGUGAAAUUAAAAAAAAUACACUACUAAUGUACAAAAUACGUAUUGUCGAAACCGUUUUUUGAAAACAAAAAUUUUAGUUUCGACUUAAAAAUAAAAACAAAAACUGGAGUCGCCACCGAUCAUUUAUGAAGGUGUGAUCGGCCCACCUUAAAAAUAAUUUUGGUCUGCGAAAUUCGAGAAAACAGGCUCGGGAGUCAGUUACGCACGAGGAAGGAUUAGCACCCUCGUAACGCCCAAAAUUGGUACCAAAUUGAUUUUUUUUAAUGCCUUGGUGUCGAAAAUUUGAAAAGAUUUUAAAAGGAAACUUUUUAUUUCAUGAAUGGAUUAAAAUAAAAAGACAUUCGUAUUUCAAAGAAAUAAAACACCACACCCAGUGAGUUAGGGCACAAUGUUUUUAAAUCUUCAAAAUACCCGAAUAUUGCCUUUUGCUUUUGAAAAUUCUUAUUUCGAGAAGAAAAUGUCAUGACCAGUAAGUUAGGACCCAACAUUUCGAAUUCCCGAGAAUAAGUUUUUAUUUAAAAUUUGAAUUUAUUGCAAAACAAAUAUUUGGCUUUCUAAACUCAUCGAAAAAUAAUCGCGAUCCAAUAAGUUAGGACACGAUCUUUCACGAGAAUCAUGAAUACCAAAUAUUUUGGAAUUUAUAAAAUAAGAUGAUUUAAAUACUUUGAGAAAACAUAUAUUUUCUUUAAAAGCAAGAUAAAAUGUUAAUAUACAACAUGAUACACAUAUUUUAAUUUAAAUUAUAAAUGUGCAUGUAUUUACAAAAUAUAUAUAAGUGUAAUACACAAGUAAAUUUGAAAAUAUGUGCAUGCGUAUGUUUAACACACAUACACAAAUAUACAUAAAAAACAUGCAUAGCAUAACUUAUAAUAAUCUCCAAAAAUAUGUACGUAUAUUUCAUAAAACAUGCAUAUGUACAAAAAAAUAGAAAAAAAAAAUGCAUAUGCCUUGUAAAAUAUGAGAGUACAUACAUAUAUAUAUAUAUAUAUACAUAUUUAUUUAUAAAAACUAUGUAAACAAAAUAUAUAUAAAAUAUGAGCGUAUAAGGACUUCAAAGGAGAUUGGAUUGGUUACUUCAGUCUGCUCCACUGCAACUUCAGGGAGAUAAGACUUGUAUAUUCGAUCUACUUCACCACCAGUAUGGGAAGACAAGAUCUGUUUUCUUCGAUCUACUUCACGCCAAUACAUGAGGACAAGAUCUGUUUUUUCAAUCGAUUCCACUGCCGACCGGGGAGGUAGAAUUACUGGCUUCAAUAUACUCCGCUGCAACCUCAGGGAGGUAAAAUCCGCCAUCUUCGAUCUGCUCCACUACUGCUUAGGGAGAUAAGAUCUGUAAUCUUCAAUUUGCUCAACUGCAAUGUCGGGGAAACCAGAUCCGCCGUCGUGGCUUCAAUCUAUUCCACCGCACCGUUAGAGAAGUAAGAUUUGCCGUUGUGGCUUCAAUCUUUUUAAUUGCAAUAUCAGGGAAACCAAAUCCGCCGUCGUAGCUUCAAUCUGUUCCACUGCACUGCUAAGGAAGUAAGAUCCGCCGUUGUGGCUUCAAUCUUUUAAAUUGUAAUAUCAGGGAAACUAGAUCCGCCGUCGUAGCUUCAAUCUGUUCCGCUGCACUGCUAAGGAAGUAAAAUCCGCCGUUGUGGCUUCAAUCUUUUUACUUUUCAACCCGCUCCAUUGUUACUCACGGAGACAAGGCUUUAUGAUUUCACCGAUCUGCUCUCUGUGGAACAUGACCUGUAUGACUCACUUUAUGAGCCUAAUUAUGCCUAAUGAUUAGGAUGUCAUGAUCAGAAUGAAUCAAAUGCUCCUAACUAGGCGUGUAUAAAUGACAUUUGAAUAUUAUGUCAUGAAAAAUGAAUAUUGAAUGUGUAAAGUCAUUAUUGCUCAUUAAGGCUUCCUUCGUGGCAACAACGCUUCGUCAAAACUUGAAAAAUUUAAAAUCUCGACUCUUGGCUCCUAGAUAUCUCCGACCUUUUAACCCAGUGAAGGUCUAAACAAUAGUCCUGUUUCAGGUUCCUGAGUUAUUUAAAGAUUUCUAGAGUAAUAUGAAAAACUUCCCUUGUGAAAGUUUUACUAGUCCAUUAAUCGUCAUUCUAAUGCAACAUGCUUGCGAAAAGAUCAUAACGAUAACAUAAACAAAAUUAGUCUGGGAGGAUAGCUCGCAAUGGAUUGUCAAUGAUAGAGGAAUUGUCUGGGGACAUUUAUAUUGAAAAAAAAUGUCAUAAUUUAACAAUGAAUUCAAUACAAAUACUAUGAACAUGUGCCCCAGAUAUCUCUGCUUGAAUUUCUCUAUACAGCUUUCGAAGACCCUUUUGAAUUCAACACGUGUUUAGGAAAUUCACAGUAUUUUGUUGAUGCCCCAAGAUGUCGUCUAUUCCUUUCUGUCGAUUUAGGUACAGCAAGACUACCACGUGACAACCAAAAUUUGAGCCGCCCUUUUUGGGUUUUCAACUCAAAUCCCCUUUGGUCUUAAGGUGCCCUUUGCGGGUUUUCACCUUAGCCUCUCCUUUCCUUUUCUUUUCUUUUCUUUUUUUUUUUUGGAAUCAAAGCGCCCUUUGCGGGUUUUCACCUUGGUUACUUCCCUUCUUCAAGUAAAGUACCUCUUCACCGAAUCUGAAUUUACCGGAUUAGGCAAGUUUUUCCCGUCCAUUUCAGCCAGGAUCAGGGCUCCUCCAGAAAAGGCCUUUUUUACAACAUAAGGACCCUCCCAAUUCGGCAUCCAUUUCCCCUUAAAAUCCUUUUGUAGAGGAAGAAUUUUUCUCAACACCAGGUCCCCCUCGUGAAAUUCUCUGGGUCGGACUUUCUUGUUGUAGGCUCGCAUCAUUCUUUUCUGGUAUAUCUGACCGUGCUGAAUAGCCUUUAGCCUCUUUCCCUCUAUCAAGUUCAACUGAUCGUAUCGAGAUUGAACCCAAUCCGCUUCAUCCAAUUGUAGCUCAGACAAAACCCGGAGAGAAGGGACUUCAACUUCGAUGGGCAACACUGCCUCCAUGCCAUAAACUAAGGAGAAAGGCGUUGCCUCGGUGGAGGUCCUGGUUGACGUUCAAUAAACAAGGAGGGCAAACGGUAAUUUCUCGUGCCAGUCCAUGUAAGUCUCAGUCAACUUCCCUACAAUCUUCUUUAUAUUUUUAUUGGUCGCUUCUACUGCACCAUUCAUUUUCGGGCGAUACGGCGACGAAUUGUGAUGUCUGAUCUUGAAUUGACUGCAGACCUCUGCUAUUGAGCUGUUGUUCAAAUUCAACGUAUUGUCGGAUAUGAUUCUUUCAGGCAUUCCAUACCGACAUAUGAUCUCUCUCUUCAAGAACUUACUGACUGAUGACUUUGUAACAUUAGCAUACGAAGCAGCUUCUACCCAUUUGGUGAAGUAGUUAAUAACCACGAAUAUGAAAUGAUGCCCAUUUGAAGCCUUUGGCGAUAUUGGCCCGAUAACAUCCAUACCCCACAUGGAGAAAGGCCAUGGAGAAGUCAUGACAUGAAGAGGUGAAGGAGGUGCAUGCAUUUUAUCACCAUAGAUUUGACAUUUAUGGAACUUCUUGGAAUAAUUGAUGCAAUCCCCUUCCAUGGUAGACCAGUAGUACCCGAAUCUCAUAAUCUGCCUAGCCAUUGUGAACCCGCUGGCAUGCGUUCCGCAGAUGCCCUCAUGGACUUCUUCUAGAAUUUUCUUUGCUUCUACGGCGUCCACACAUCUUAGCAGUACCUGAUCUUUUCCCCUCUUGUACAAGAUCUCCCCAUCUAAGACGUAGUCAAUGGCUAGUCUUCUCAGAGUUCUCUUUUCAUUCUCCGUUGUCUGGCCAAGAUACUCACGAUUUUUUACAUACCGUAGUAUAUCUUGAUACCAAGGACUAUCAUCGAUUUCCCCUUCUUCAAUAUUGUAACAAUGAGCCGGGUCUUCAUAGAUACUCAUUUGGAUUGGUUUCAUAUCCCCAUUUCUGUUCAGUUUGAUCAUGGAAGCUAAGGUAGCUAGUGCAUCAGCCAUCUGGUUCUCAUCUCGUGGGAGAUAGCAAAAAGUGAUGUCCUCAAACUCCUUAAUCAAUUCGAGGACCAACUUUCGGUAACUGAUUAAUUUGGGAUCUCUCGUUUCCCAUUCACCCCUGAGCUGAUAUAUCACCAAUGCUGAAUCUCCAUAGACCUCUAGCACUUUGAUUCCUCGCUCUAUAGCUGCACGAAUACCCAUGAUGCAUGCUUCAUAUUCUGCCAUGUUAUUUGUACAAUCAAAAUCCAAUUUACAAGUGAAAGGAUAAUGAUCACCAUUUGGGGACACCAGGACUGCCCCAAUUCCAUUGCCUACAGCGUUCGAGGCUCCAUCAAAGUUUAGCUUCCAACUGUGACCUUCUUGGGGACUUUCUUCAGUAGCGGCUACACACAUCAGGUCCUCAUUUAGGAAAUCAAAACUCAACAGCUCGUAGUCCUCCAGAGCUCUACUAGCUAGAAAGUCAGCAAUUGCACUCCCUUUCACAGCCUUUUGGUUCACAUAGACAACAUCAAAUUCAGACAAUAAAAUUUGCCAUCGGGCCAUUCUCCCAUUCAAAGCAGCUGACUCCAUCAUAUACUUUAACGGGUCUAACUUUGAGAUCAGCCAAGUCGUAUGGUAUAACAUGUACUGCCUUAAUCUUCGGGUUGUCCAAAUCAAGGCACAGCAUAAUUUCUCAAAUAGGCGAAUAUCUCAUUUCACAGUCAGUGAAUUUCUUGCUGAGAUAAUAUAUCGCUCUUUCUUUCCUCCCCGUUUCAUCAUGUUGACCUAACACACACCCCAUGGAAUUGUCAAAUACCGUUAGAUACAAUAUCAGAGGCCUAUCCGGGUUAGGUGGUGACAGCACUGGAGUAUUAGACAAAUACUGUUUCACUUUGUUGAAAGCUUCCUCGCAUUCCUCAUCCCAAGUACCAGGAUUAUGUUUCUUCAGAAGACGAAAUAUAGGGUCACAUUUCUCAGUCAGUUGUGAAAUAAACCUAGCGAUGUAAUUCAGUCUUCCUAGGAAACCUCGAACUUCUUUCUGAAUGCGAGGUGAAGGUAAAUCUCGUAUUGCCUUGACUUUGUCUGGGUCAAUCUCGAUUCCCUUUUCACUGACUACAAAGCCUAGCAACUUUCCUGACCUGGCCCCAAAAGUGCACUUCGCUGGAUUAAGCUUGAGUUAGAACUUUCUCAAUCUUAAGAAUAACUUUCUCAAGACCCACACAUGUUCGCCCUCUGUUCUAGAUUUCGCGAUCAUAUCAUCAACAUAAACCUCGAUUUCCCUGUGCAUCAUGUCAUGGAACAAGGCUACCAUGGCUCUUUGGUAUGUCGCUCCUGCAUUCUUCAAUCCAAACGGCAUCACUUUGUAACAGAACGUCCCCCAUAACGUAAUGAAUGUAGUCUUCCUCAUGUCUUCAGGAUGCAUCUUUAUCUGAUUGUACCCAGAAAAACCAUCCAUGAAGGAAAACAGUGAAAAGCCCGCAGUAUUGUCUACCAAUGUGUCAAUGUGAGGCAAUGGGAAAUUAUCCUUUGGACUAGCCUUGUUCAAAUCCCGAUAAUCCACACACAUUCGUACUUUUCCAUCNNNNNNNNNNNNNNNNNNNNNNNNNNNNNNNNNNNNNNNNNNNNNNNNNNNNNNNNNNNNNNNNNNNNNNNNNNNNNNNNNNNNNNNNNNNNNNNNNNNNCUUGCAGAAACCCGGCAUCAAACUGCUUUUGGACCUCCUCCUUUUAUCUUCAACACGAUAUCAGGCCUCAUCCUUCUGAGUUUUUGCUGCACUGGCUUGCAAUCUUCUCUUAUAGGGAGACGAUGGACUACCAUGUCGGUACUCAACCCCGGCAUAUCCUGGUAUGACCAUGCAAACACGUCUUUGAACUCUCGGAGUAAUUCAAUGAGGUCCUGCCUUGUCCUUUCAGAGAUAACCGAUCUGAUCUUCACCUCUUUACCCUCCUCUAAGCUCACGACUUCUAUUGAUUCCCUGUGAGGUAGGAUUUAUUUCUCGGCCCUUUCUACCAUCUUUGACAAGUCAGGAGACAAACCACAGUCUUCGUUGUCUUCAAAAUUAUGCGAUCCCUCUAAACACAUGUUUCGUUCAAAAGGAGACUCUAAAUUUGUAAGAGUGACAUUCGCAUCAUUGAUAUCAUGGGACCUGUUAUAAGUAUGAAAAACAAUAUGGAUUCAGGAAUUUGUUUGGUGCAAUAUGGUCAUGAAUGAAAUGCAAGUGUAGUUUAAGAGAAACUUAAAAUAACUGCUCUUAUGGGAAGAAAGAUUUGCUCCAAAAAUGAUUGCAAACAUGAACUUUAUUAAAAUAACGAUUUUCUGGACAUGAGCCUAUUUCACAAAGGAAUCCUUAUCACUUCUAGGCUAAAAGGCAAUAAGGGUGUUCUGGACAUUACUCUGGGGAAAUCCUAAAAACUACAGGUAUUUCUUCUGCAGUCCAGUUGUUUAGCUCCCUUUCCGACUCGUAAGGACGAAUAUCUGGCAAAGCUCUUCCUCGCGUCACUUCUUCAUACACAACAUGAAUACUCUCUAGCUCCAUGUUAAUACUUCUGACCCCUAGCAUUCUUUGAUAGGUGAAUCCUCCCGGUACAAAAGUCUUGGAUAGGUGAGGAAAGGUCAUGGGUUCCCAUUUGACUUCAUCACCUGUCAAGCGAGCCCUUCUCCGCACUCGCUUAUUUUCCUGCUCUAUCCUCUUCUGCCUAGCAUCUGGCUUGUAUUCUAAGCCAAAACGAUCCUGCUUGUCUUUCAACACUAGAGCCUCAACUCGGCCCUGAAGAUAUCUCCCCAAUCCUCUUCUCGGUAAUGCUCCCUUUCCAACAGUCAACUGCAGACCCAUCUCUGUGGUCCUGGAUAUUCUCGGCAUCGGGAUCUUGUUUCCCUCACGGAUGAAUGUUGCAUUUACAAACUCCAAGGAACGAAAAGAGCAUUCGAUUGGAUCAUCGCUCGUUUCUAGAUAAGUCGCAUCGUUGGUCACAGAUGCAAUGAUAUCUUCUUCAGCAUCUAUCGUCACAACCCUGCCUUCUGACACCAGCUUCAGUUUUUGAUGUAACGAUGACGGUACCGCACCUGCUGAAUGAAUCCAUGGCCUUCCUAAUAGGCAACUGUAAGAAGGCUUGAUGUCCAUAACUAAGAAGUCCACCUCAUAAAUAGUUGGGCCAAUUAACAAGAGAAUGUCAACUCUUCCCAUGACCCUCCUCUCAGUACCAUCGAAUGCUCGAACCACGUUCUGACACGACUUCAUAUGCGAACUAUCCACAGGUAGCCUGUUGAGCGUGGAUAGGGGAAAUACAUUUAAUGCCGAUCCAUUGUCUACCAGAACCCCCGGUAAUAUGCACCCUUUACACCUUGCAAUGAUGUGUAAAGCUCUAGUGGAUCCCAUACCCCCAGGUGGUAUUUCGUCAUCGCUGAAAGAGAUGAAGUUAUCAGCGCUUAUAUUACCGACCAGUCGAUCCAACUUGUUAAUAGAGAUAUCAUCGGCCACAUAAGUUUCAUUUAGCACCUUCAGUAGUGCAUUCUGAUGUCCCUCCGAGUUCAGGAGUAAAGCUAGCACAGAUAUGCGAGCUGGUUGUUUGUGCAGCUGUUCCACAACGCUGUACUCGCUAUGUUUUAUGAACUUCAAGAACUCUCUAGCUUCCUCCUCCUUGAUUGGUUCAUUGACCACCAAUUCAGGUUCGACCGUCUUCUUCUUCUUUCCAAUCAGAGUUUCUUCUCUUAUUGGCUCUACUCGAGCCUUCACCUGUUCGUUAUACCCUCCUUCAUCAUGGUCCUCCUUCCCUGGGAUUGUCACAUUACAAUUGUAAUGCCAAGGAACCCUCCUGUUAUCCUUGUAAGUAAACGCAGUCGGUUUUUGAAUGAUAACCCUUGGUGCUACUCGUGCUCCAGCCUCACUAUUCUUAGGUUGUGAGAUGAUGACCACAGGAUGGUUAACCUUUGGAACUCCCAAUGCCAACUCUGACGUACAUACAUGACUCUCUUUCUGAAUUCCUUCCCAAAAUUCCAUCUCUUUAUUAUCUAUCAUACCCUGUACCACGGCUCUGAACUCCGUACACUCCUGGAUUUCAUGCCCCAUUUCACAGUGGAACUCACAGUAGUUCCUCCUCUUCUCACAGCUUUCUUCUGAAGGAAUUAGCCCCCUUUUCACCAUCUCUUUCCAGACCCAUCUCAAAGGAGUCUUCACGUCCGCAAUGUCUACCUUAAUUCUCAUGUCUUCGUCCAUCAUAUUUACCCCACCAUCAGUGUGAUUUGGUAAUGGGUUCUCUGCCUUGGUGGCUUCAUCAAAUUUAACGACACCCAUACCAAUGAGCCUUUCAACCAGCUUCUUGAAGGCCGUACAGUUUUCUAUGGAGUGCCCCGUGAUUCCCGCAUGAUAGUCGCACUGUGCAUUUGCGUCGUACCAUUUGGGGGACGGGGGCUGUAAGGGCUUCAGAUAGAAAGGGGAAACUACAUGUGCGUCGAAUAAGUUUCGGUAUAAUUCCCUGUACGACAUGGGAAUUGGCGUGAAUUGGGGCCUCUCCGUAUUUCGCCUUGUACCGACCUUCUGUCUCGACAAGCUUUGUUGAUUGGCAGCCGUCUUUCCUGGCUGACUCACUGUUACUGACUUCGAGUAACCCUUGUUGUACAUGCUCACGUUGUUCACCUCGUUUUCCUUCCUUUUCGAAGCUGAUCUUCUGUUACUCUCUCCAGCAUCGAUCUUCCCACUCCUGAUGGUGUUCUCAAUCAUCUCGCCAUUCAUGACUAUGUCAGGAAAGCUUUUUGUGGCACUUCCUAACAUAUGUGUAAUGAACGGUGCCUUCAGGGUGUUAAUGAACAACAUGGUCAUUUCCUUUUCCAAGAGCGGUGGUUGAACUUGGACCGCGACCUCCCUCCAUCUCUGUGCGUACUGCCUAAAGCUUUCGCUCGGCUUCUUCUCCAUGUUUUGAAGGGUGAUCUUAUCAGGAGUCAUGUCUGUCACAUGACUAUAUUGUUUCAUGAAUGCUUGCGCCAAGUCCCUCCAUGAACCAAUCGUAGCUCGACUCAACUGAUUGUACCACUUGGAUGCUGCCCCUGCAAGGCUGUCUUGGAAGUAAUGUAUUAAUAGCUGGUCAUUACUAACGUAUCCAGCCAUUCGCCUGCAGAACAUGGUGAUAUGAGCCUCUGGGCAAGUCGUCCCAUUGUACUUCUCGAAUUCAGGCAUCUUAAACUUAUGAGGGAGAACAAGAUCCCGCACUAAACUCAGCUCUUUUGCGUCAAUGCCUCGAUAGCUUUCAGUAACUUCCAUCGCCUUGAACUUCUCCUCAAGCCACUUGCAUCUCUCUUCCAACUGUCUCGGUAACUCCUCCUUCACUCUUUCCUUCUCAACUACUUCAUCAAAGUCAGGAAUGGCAGAGUUAAUAGGAUUAUUUUCGGGAUUAAAACACGGCCCAGUUUGGAGGUUCGAAACACCAGCUUGAAAUUGCUGAGGCAUGAUUGUGACAGUAGAUUUGCGCGGGUAUUCAUCUUGAGUUCGCUCAUGUGGAGGGGUGAAACCUGGAGGAUAGAAAAGUUCAUCAUCAUUUCCCUCAUCGACAUCUGCCAUGGGGCCCUUUCCUUUGUCACCUCCCUUAGUUAUCAGUCGGGUUAACUUUGCCACUAUAUCCUCUUGAGAUUCCCGCAUCUUCUCAGACAUUUCUUGUUUCAUCUUGUCUAACCGCUCCUGCAUUUGUAGCUGAAUCCAGUCUUGCAUCUCCUUCUGGUACUGUUCGAGCUUUUCUAAUCUCUGAUCCAUAUCUCUUGUCUUUGUUCGAGUGCCGUAUCGGUGUUGGAUUGGUUGGUUGGUUUCCAGGUUAACUGAGCAAUAAUUUUAAUUAAUUAGGAUCAAUUCAAAGUUUUGAAUGCAUAUGAUGCGAUGCAUGAGAUGAAUGCAAGAAAGGCGUUAAUUAUGAUUCAAUUCCACUUGGAAAACUUUAUUAGAAAACAAAUCUCUUUACAUAGAAUAGACUACAAAUACGACUUCGCCCUAAUACUUAAGACCUUGAUUUUUUGAAGCAACGAGGCUAACUCCCGUCCCCGGUCUGACUCCAAUUCAUACUUUACGCUCAACGUGUCAGCUUGUACUGCCAGAGUUUGUAAGUGAUCAGCUACUUCUCGAAUCUGAACCAAGGCUUGUCCCAUAACACGAUCCCUGCUUCUGACCUAAUUCUGGAGAUAGUGAAGCUGUUCGCUUUGAUGAUCUUUGUUUGCCUCCAAAUACUCAAUCCUGGCUUCACAGUUCUGCAAUGCCACCUCUAGUUCUUCUAUAGUUUUCUUCAUUUGCUCGAUUCUACUUAAACUUGCUUGCAGUUCCACCACUGAAUUACGAUUUCGGUAUUGAUGAACAAUCUUCUCAAGUUCGGCCACUCUAGCCCUUAGUUUAUCCCUUUCAUCUUGAUUUUCUGACAAACUCUUCUCAAGCGAUCUAUUUUGCAUCUGGGCUUCUUGGAAUCUUUCUUCCCAUCUGCCAGCCUUGGCUUUUUCUUCUUGAACCUCUUGACGCCACUGCUCUGAGGUUUUUCCCAACCCAGCAGUUCUUACUGACAGACGUAGUCUCUUAUAAUCCGUCUUCAAGCUGUUCAAAUCUUCCUCGACUUUGCGCUUCCCUUUUCUCAGGCCUUCGGUUUCCUGCAUUUGAACAUCUAUGUCCAACUUUAAAUUCACCUUUUCCUCCUCCAUUUUCUCUAUUUUCUUCUCUAAUUCUGCAUUCCUUCUUUCGAGGUCUUAAUUUAUGAUUUCCAGCUCAGAAGGGACGACGCACAAAUGCUCCUCUAUCGACUGACUAUUUUCUGAACUUGGCCCGGGAAUGUUGUCAUUAAUCCUCCUAACACGCCAUUCGUUAUAUUCAGAAGUUGUCAUUGGACCCACGGCUAAUCUCUUCAUUCGGCGAGUCUGAUUCCACGCAUUGGCCAUCUCACGAGCCUUCCUUUUGUAGCCAUCAUCCUUAUAUGAGAAUUCACACUCAGCUAGUCCUUGAGUGGCAGGCACAAACUGUCUUGACCUGUACUGUCUUAACACUAGCAAUGGGGCAUAACCAACAGCUCCCCAAAUCCCGAGCAACGGAACCCAGUCGAAAUCGCCACACCUAUAUAGGAUCUCAUCUGGAAGCAACCACGGAGCUCUCCACUCGAUAUCUUCUUCUUGCAGAUUCUGAAAGAUUGCCAUCCAUUUCUCCUCUGUAAUAUCAUCUCUCCUUGAUGCAGCCACUAUCUCUUUCAACGGUGAAUAACUUUCAGAGAAGACCUGAUAUGAAACCUUAUCAACCUUCCAAAAGUGGCUAUGGAACCACCCAAGUAAUAACUGCGCACAUCUAAAAAAUCUGCCCUCUCCCGUUCUUCGGCAUGCAUUUAAUGACCUAAAGGUUUCUGCCAAAAUCACCGGAACUGGCGUAACUCCCUUGUCAAGCCGGUCGAAUAAAUCAGUGACCGCCUAAUCAACAUGUCCCAAAAUCUUAGGAAACAAGAUUAGACCAUAUAUACUUAGAGCAAAGACGUCCACUUUCUUCCUCGCAUCUGGGUGUGCUAAAAUGAGGUCCUUCAAGUUUUUCCAAGGAAUACACCUACUAUCCCCUUUUUGCUUAAUCCGAGCUGUAACCCACUACUCAUUUAUCCCUGUUAUACUCAUCAACUUCCUCAAGAAGGUUGGUACAUUCACCGCUUUCGAAUAAAUUCUAUCCACCUGUACCUUCGAACACCGAAGUAAAGCCGUGUACUCCUCUAUUGUAGGCACUAGGUCAACCUUUCCGAAUGUGAAGCAACUGUACGCCGGAUUCCAAAACUGGGCAAGAGCUCGAAACAGACGGUUGUCUACCUUCAUGUCAAGUAAAUAAGGUAAAUCCCCAUAAUUUGAAUAGAAUAGCUGUCUAACCUCAUUAUCCCAUUGAUCCCAAAUCUCCUUCAAUUCCUGCAAGUUGUUCUGAGCUACGCUAACACGAGUGAAGUCCCAUAACUCUGAUACGUAUCCCACGGCCAAACUAUCACCUUUUUCAUGCUGUAUCUUCUCAGACCAAGUCCGGACAGCCGUAUUGUCUUCCACUCUAUCAAGAAACCCAUUUCCCAUGAUAAACUUUCUAUAUGGCAACCGAAUAUGAACCAACGCCUUUAUAAUGAAAUGUCAUGCAAUUAUGAUGUCAUGCAAUCAAAACAAAAGAAACCCAAGUUAGUAUCACAUAUAAAAAUAUAAUCCAAACAAGAACACUUAUUUAGGAAUCUACUAGGGUUCAGUAUAGUUCUCCCUAGGGCAAGUUCCUAAAGCUCACUAUAUGAGGUUUAGUUUCUAGAGUAAGGGUACCCGAACCAACAGAUUCCUCGAUCCUCACCCAUUAUAGGCUCAUACAGAUCGAGUUCAGUUCAGGGGGACACAUUUCCCUAUGGCUGCACGGAGAUGAAAAUCUCACGAAGACAUAGGUACGAAUGUAUCCCGGAAGCAGUCCACUAUCCUGCACGGAGGUGAAAACCUCACGAAGGACUAGUUUCUCGCUCCCACUUAAGGGUAAAAUGCAAAAUGCAAAUGCAAAGUUGCCAAAGUUCCAUGAUAAAAUAUCAAUGAGUGCAAAGGGAAAAUUUUUAAAAACUUUUUGAUUUUCGACACAAAAACAAAUAUGAUCAGUUUAUGGCUCGACUCUCUAUGUCCCCAGCGGAGUCGCCAAGCUGUCGAAACCGUUUUUUGAAAACAAAAAUUUUAGUUGUCGACUUAAAAAAAACAAAAACUGGAGUCGCCACCGAUCCUUUAUUAAGGUGUGAUCGGCCCACCUUAAAAAUAAUUUUGGUCUGCGAAAUUCGAGAAAAUAGGCUCGGGAGUCAGUUACGCACGAGGAAGGAUUAGCACCCUCGUAACGCCCAAAAUUGGUACCAAAUUGAUUUUUUUUAAUGCCUUGGUGUCGAAAAUUUGAAAAGAUUUUAAAAGGAAACUUUUUAUUUCAUGAAUGGAUUAAAAUAAAAAGACAUUCGUAUUUCAAAGAAAUAAAACACCACACCCAGUGAGUUAGGGCACAAUGUUUUUAAAUCUUCAAAAUACCCGAAUAUUGCCUUUUGCUUUUGAAAAUUCUUAUUUCGAGAAGAAAAUGUCAUGACCAGUAAGUUAGGACCCAACAUUUCGAAUUCCCGAGAAUAAGUUUUUAUUUAAAAUUUGAAUUUAUUGCAAAACAAAUAUUUGGCUUUCUAAACUCAUCGAAAAAUAAUCGCGAUCCAAUAAGUUAGGACACGAUCUUUCACGAGAAUCAUGAAUACUAAAUAUUUUGGAAUUUAUAAAAUAAGAUGAUUUAAAUACUUUGAGAAAACAUAUAUUUUCUUUNNNNNNNNNNNNNNNNNNNNNNNNNNNNNNNNNNNNNNNNNNNNNNNNNNNNNNNNNNNNNNNNNNNNNNNNNNNNNNNNNNNNNNNNNNNNNNNNNNNNCACAAGUAAAUUUGAAAAUAUGUGCAUGCGUAUGUUUAACACACAUACACAAAUAUACAUAAAAAACAUGCAUAGCAUAACUUAUAAUAAUCUCCAAAAAUAUGUACGUAUAUUUCAUAAAACAUGCAUAUGUACAAAAAAAAUAGAAAAAAAAUGCAUAUGCCUUGUAAAAUAUGAGAGUACAUACAUAUAUAUAUAUAUAUAUACAUAUUUAUUUAUAAAAACUAUGUAAACAAAAUAUAUAUAAAAUAUGAGCGUAUAAGGACUAAAAUAUGUAUGUAAGCAUAUAUAUAUAUAUGAACGUAAAACUAUGAGAAUAAAAUAUAAAAACGUGUGGAUGUGUACAUGUUUAAAAAAAUGUAUAAACACAUAUAUAUAAAAUAUAAGGUAUAAAAAUAUAAAGGAUAAAAGAUAGAAUAAAGGAAAUAAAAUGUAUGUAAAACGUAUGCAUGCAUUUUAAAGCUUAAGGAUGUAUAUAUGCUAGAAAUGAAAACAUGAAAAGUGAAUAAUAAAAGUUAUACGUUUGUAAAAAACGAAAUAUAAAACAAUAUGUAUAUACACGUACAUGAAAAUCAUAAAUGGAAUUAGUGUAAUAAUAAUAGUAAUAAUAAACGUGUAACAGUAUAUUAAAAAAAGAAAAAAAACUAAAUAAAGUAAAGAAAAGACCAAAUUGAAUAAAAAAACCAAAAAAAUAGGGGCAAAUUCGAAAAUAAUAAAAAAGGGAUGAAUUCGAACACGCGAGCGGCAAUGGGGGACCAAAAGAGCAAUUUACCCAGGCCUCCAAAACGCUGCGCUGAAGGGGACUGAAUUGAAACGUGAAUUGAAUAUGCGGCCCAAUUUUAAAACAAAAAAAAAGAUUUAAUUGACAUGCGCUGCAAAAGGGAGGGGUCAAAUGCACAAAUAACCCAUAUGACGUUAGAACGCGCGGAUCCUCCCCUCCGGGUCGGGUCACCGCGCGAGUCACACUUGACCAAAACGACGCCGUUUUGAAUGUUGUUUAAAACAAAAAUUUUCCUUCCAAAAAAAUCCAUUUGAAAUCGAAUGGGAAAAAAAAAAAGAAACUCCGGCGCUCUGCUAGGGUUCAAUCCCUAGCGUCCUUGCGCCGCCACUCAAUCGGCCCUCUCACCAAACUCCGAUCACGACAGAGAUGGCGGUGGCACGGCGUUUUUAGGUAUGUUUUCCUCCCUUUUUGUUAUUUCAAAUGAAAUAAAAUGAAAAUAAAGAAAAAAAUGUAAAAACGAUAAACACUUUUAACAAUAAAAAAGAAAUCACCUUUAAAACAAAACAAGUUUUUUUCUGCUUUUAUUCCCGAUUCUCUCCGUCAAAAAUCCGUCCUUUUUACAGAUAAAAGUCGGCCUUUUAUAGCCUGAAAACCUAUUUGUUUUACACUAUAUUUUCGCUAAUGGACUCUCUGAAUCCGUGUUUGCAGGUGCGUGGAGAGUGGAGGCCGAAACGUGCGGAGGCUGCAGGAGGCUGUUGCGGCGCUGGGCAUGGGCUGCUGAGGCUUGCGGCGCUGAAGCAGAGAGGCUCUAGGGUUUCUGCUUUCAACGUUUUUGGUGUAUUGGGCUUGAACGGCCCAUUUUUGUUUUGUAAAUGGUCUGGGCCAAUUGGGCCUUAUUACACGUAUUAUAUAUAUAUAUAUAUAUAUAUAUAUUAUAAACCAAUGGCUAAAAAUUUUUCUAAUCCUUCUAGCUUUCUUUAUAUGAGAGUCGUUAAAUUUUAGUUUUGAUUCGUAUACUUUGCUCAAAUUUUAAAUUUAAUCUAUAUACUUUAAUUUUUCAUAAUUUAAUUUCUCAUCCUUUUUAAUAUCAUUAGUUAAUUUAAAUAUUUUAUUCCAAAAACUUGAAAUAUAAUAAUUUAAUUAAAAGAAUAAAUAAUCAACACGAAGCAUGGGUGAGAAUCAUAAAUCAUGCAUGACUUCUAUCAUUAAGUAUCCUUAGCAGUCUUUUUAAGCUGUUAUUAUUAUAUUAUUAUUUUAUUCGUGCAUUGAAAUUAAAUCAAAUCCGAAUAUAAUACGUAAUUUCUUUUUGACCGGUCCAAGAUUAAGUUUAAUAAAAUCUAUUUGCUGUAUAUUUAUUAUUAAGAAACAUUGGUCUUAGUACGUCUCCUUUAGAAUAUUUACACUUAAUUCGCAUUAAAUAUAAAAUAUGAUUAUAAUUAUUUAAAUUCUUUUGUUUGGAAAGGAUAAAAUAUGAAUAUUUACACUUGAAAAGUAUUUUGUUUAAUAGGUUGGUUUGUCUUAAUUUUGAAUAUGGAAAUUAAGUUAUCUUGGAAAAGGAAGUUACAUGAGAGAAAAACUUGUUAAUCCUUAGAAUUUUCAGCAUUUUUAUAGUAAUUUUGAAAUGGUUAAUAUUAUUGUUGAGUAUGACUUAUAGUUAAAUUUAAGAGAUAAUCUCUUAGUUAAACUCUGUUUAUUUGUUUCAGUUAAAUUUUGAUUAGUCUAGAUUAUUUUAUUAUUAUUUGACCUACGAAUUUAGCCUAUAAAUAGGAUCUUUUACAACAUUAUAAAAAACACCCAUUAAAAUAUUAGAACUCAUAACACUUUUGGAGAAUUUUGUAUUUACAUUUUGAGGGUUCUUUUUUUUAGGUUUCGGGGUUUAGUUUUUAUCUUCAUCUUUUGUAAUUUUUAUUUUUUUGUCAUUAUAGUAAAAUUAUCUUUAUCCGUGGUUUUUUAUCCUCUUUGGAGGGGUUUUUUUCACGUUAAAUUUGUGUGUUCAAUUUCUCAAUUGCUUCCGCUAUUUUUUACUUGUUUGUUGCUUAAUCGGAUCAAUUCCCAACAAUCAUCAUAUAAUAUUUUUUAUAUGUUGCUAGUGAAUUGAGGACAUAUUUCUAAAAUUUAAAUGAAUUUUUUCUUUUGUAUUCUUUAUAUUCAUUUUACGGUAAUGCAUCACAUAUAAAUCCAUUUUAAAUUGAAAUCCAUGUUUUAUCAUUUACAUUAUCUUAUAUUAUUUUGAGCUAAUUCAAUCAAUUGUCUCUAAAUUAUUGUCAAUAUUUUUAAGGUAUAAUGUCAAAUUGUUUACAUCUUUUUUCAGUUUGGUUCUUAUUCUUUUUUGAGUUAUAAAUUUGGCCCUCAAUUUUUUUUAAAAAAUUGUCAAAUCACUUUUUAAUGAAAAUAUUCAUUAAAACCUUAUUUUUUAACGAUGUUGGUAUGUCAACCCGUGUGGUAAUCCACGUGUACUUCAUGCUAACAUGACACUUUAUCUUAUAUAUCACACCAAGAAAUAAUUUAAAUUAUAAAAAAUUCCAAAAAAAAACGAGAGCAUGAAGUACAUGUGGAUUGCUAUGCGAGCUGUCAUGUCUAAAAACCUAAUGUUUAGCUAAUAUUUCCGUUAAAAAAAUAACAAUUUAAUUUUUUUUGAAAGGUUGAUGGUCAAAUAUGAUUUUUUUUUAAAGGUCGUGAGCCAAAUUGAUAAAAAAAAAUGUAAACAUUAAGGGAUAAAUUUGACAUUAUGCCAAUUCUUAAUUAGUUUUAAACUUCAAAAUAUGUUAUUGACAUGGUAUCAAAUAGGUUUUCCAUUAGCAUAGUAGUUAAUUUAAGUGUUAAAUGUCAAUUAGGAUAUAAUGUGGAGCCUACUUAAAACAUGAAUUAAAUUGUAAAUUUGAGUAUUGUCACUUCCCAAAAAUAAGGCUAGAAGAAAUAGGGAUAAAAUUUAGAUUUUAUUUUUUUAAGCAUAGGGUAAAAGAAUUUAGAAUGCCUUAAAAAUUAUUUUUGAUAAGAAAUUAACAAGAAUUAGUCUACUAGUUCAUUGGUAAGGCCUUAGCUUUCUCUUGGGUCUCAAGUUUGAAAUCUCUUGUUCACCUUUCAAGCAAAAUAUUUUAUUUUCUUAUUUUUACCCCAUAAAAGUGCCGAAUUUUCAAACUAGCCCAAACCAAAAAUUGUUAUUUUCUAAUUUAGUCCUUAAUUUAAAAUAGUCUUGCUUCUCCAUGGAAUCCUAAAACCUAUUUCAAUUAGGGAAAAAGAGUUUUAUAAUUAGGAAAUCUUUUCAAAACUCUAGAAAUUUUAUCUAGUGAAUUUUUCAAGGAAAACUCUCAAGUUCUUCAUUUUCUCCAUCAUUACCAAACCAAUUUUCAAGCAAAGAAAUCCAAGGUUUCCAAAAUCGUCCCUCUCCUCCCAAGUAGACCAUCAUUCUCCUCAUCCAAAUUAAGGUUUUUGUGUCUUCGAAUCAGGUGUGGGAUCUAAACAUAAAUCAUUAUAUAUGAUUAACUGUAGUGUUAGGAAGUAAUAAGACUGCUAUGCAACCCCUCAUGUUAUGCGAACCCCCUUGCAUGUGCGAGCCCUGUGUGUGAUCCCCGUGUGCAAAACCCCCUAUGUGUGAGCUUGUGAGCGAACCUCUAUACGCGAACCCCUAUAGAUGAACUAUAGCUUGUAUAUACAUAUGCAAACCCUCAUGAUUUUUAGUAUAGGAUUUAAGUUGCAAACCCUAUAUAUAUUACGCGAGGCAUAUAUAUCAUGCGCACCCUAAACAUACUUUGCGAGCUUUAUAUAACAUGCAAACCCUAGGUAAUAUGUGAAUCGAGUAUAUCAUGCAAACCCUAGGUCCUAUACGAGCUAUAUAUAUCAUGUGAACCAAAGCUUGCAUAUCAUGAAAAUCCUAGGUACUAUGCGAACCCCCUGUGUUACAAACCCCCUGUAUGUCCGAACUCUGUUAGGCGAACUGAAGCAUAUGUGCGAACCCUACAUGUACGAACCCCUAGGUGCAAACCCUACAUGCGCUAACCCAUAUGUGCAAUCCUAUAUGUGCGAACCCUGUAUGUGCAAACCCUGCUUAUGUAUGUGUUAGCCGAACUAAGAAUGUUAAUAUGCAUGAAGAUAUUGUAUAUGUGAAAUUGUUUUAGAUCGCUUAAAUUAAUUGUAUAUGUGAAAUUGAUGGGAAUGGAUGAAUGAUCACAUGCCAUUAAAUGAUAGUAUGAAAUAUCAAAUGAAGCAUUGAAAGAUGAUAAAUAGCAUAAUAUGCUAAUUGUAUGUGCAUAAUUACAUGAAUUUAGGUAAGAAGGUCGAAGGAGUUCCAUAGGAGAUAGUGGCAAUUCAAGUCCACACCAAAAGUCAGUAUUGCACAGAGUAGGUGGCUAUGUCAUCAAAACUGGAUAAAUCAGGAUGAUAGUUUAAAAAGCCAUAAAAAAUCGGGUAACUGAGAUGGUAAGUUAUUGUUGUAAAAGUCAUCGUCACAUAUGACAAGUGAACGACCAUCGUCAUCGGAAAUCAAAUCCGAGAUGGUUAGUUUUUUUUAUGUGUUUUGGUGUGUCGAGCGAUGCUUGAUGGCGAUUAAGAUGGACAGGUUGGAAAUUAAAUUUAUAAUUGCAUUUGCAUCAUGAAUAAACUAUAUAUGCAUUGAAUCACUACAUGUUCCUUACAUCAGCUUAACUUGUAUUAUGCUUGAUUUGUUAUUAUGCUAUAAAUUAAAUUCUAUAUUAUUUGAAUGAUUAUAUAUAACGGUUUAAAAAUUAGACUCACACUGAGCUAUCAUAAGCUCACCCCCCAUUUCUUUACCUCUUAGGUAAUGCAGGAAACUAGGUCUCGGAAUGGCAUAAGAAGAACCUCGAAUUAGCAACUUGUUUUGGUUUUAUUUAAAAGUUUCAUUAAAAGUUUUCCUUAAUAAUUUAUUUUUGGGUUUGUAAUUAUUAAGUAUUUUCUCGUUUUUAUAUCAUAGGUUUGGGAUUUGUUUAGCUUAUUUAUUUUAAGCAUGUCAUUUGAUUAUUACUCUAAUAUUUGCAUGCUAUUCAGUAUAGGAAACUAUUAUUCUAAAUGUUUUCUGCUGCUUUACAAAAUACUUAAAGUUUUGAUAGGUCUUUUCUUAAAAACUUAAAAGUCGUUUUCUUAAAACUUCAUAUCAAUUAUACUGUAGAUGAACUAAUAAGUCAAAUUGGUUUAAUGAAUGAAUGUUUUUCUAAAAACAAAAGAGUAUUUCCAUACAAAUCAAACGCAUCUAAAAAGAACGGUUUUACAGGAUCACUUCGGUGAUCGAAUGUAAUGCCUUUGACUUAGCCGAAACUCCUAGGCCAGGUCGAGGAUGUUACAUAUAUAUAUAACUACGACAUGAAAAACCUGGAUUUGACGUAUUAAAAACUAGUAUCAAUUAAAUUUUAUCUAUGCAAUAGAUAUAUAUGUUUUUUAUAAUUUGAUCUACGAAUUUUAAAUAUAUUUCAUCUCAAAUUUGAGUUGGCAUUUAAUGCCUAAACUAAUUGUUGAAUUAAUAAAAGGACUUAAUUGAUAUGAUAUGAUAAUUUGAGAACUAAAUUAAAACAUUUUAAAAAUUAAAGAUGAAUUUAAAAUCCCAUAAUUUGAGAACAUUGCGUCUAAUGUGUUUAUGGUGAAUUGUAAACAAAUCCUUGGUCAAACCUGACAUGCUCUAUAAAAAUCCAUGAAAAAUCAGUUGUAAAAAGGUAGAAAAGAAAGGCAAAUACUUUCAGAUGCUUAACCGACUUCAUUCAAUUUUUAUUUUCAUAUAAAAAAUACUUAAUAUAUUUAAUAUAUAUUUGAUGGUUGAAUUUUUUACAUAAAAUAAAUUAAAUUUAUAUAAAAUUUGUUAUGCAUAAUUUAAAGGAAUAAACCAUAAAACAUAAUGGUUUUAUCGUUAAAAUAUUAAUUAUAUAAAUAAUUAUAAAAGUGUAUAAAAUUACUUUAAUUUUUAUUAAUUUUUAAUUUCUUCGUUAUUAUUUUUAUUAAUUUUUUUUAAAAAAAUUAUAAAAUAUUUGAUGUUUAGAAUUUUAAGAAUGAUACAUAUAAACAAUUUCUUUUCUUAGUUUUUAAAUUCAUCCAUUUAAAAACAAUUCUGAUAUCCUAAAGAGAGUGGGUCAAAUAAGUAACAAAUUUAUUUAUUUUAAAAUGCUAACAAGUAAACAAAUACAUUUGAUCACUAAGGAUUAAAAGAAACAUGACAAACAUUUUUUAAAGUAAAAUUUUAAAACUUUAUAUCAAAAUAAGUCAGUAUUUUGAAUACUAUAGAGUCGUAUUGUUCUUUCUUUCCAAUCAUAUUUCCUAGGAAAUUAAUAUAAGAUUACUGGUCAAAAGUUUUGUGAAGAGUAUGUCAAAAGCAGAGAAAAGAAUAAAUAUCAUUCAUGCCCUCAAACAUUUUGAUCGAACUGCAAAAGUUUAAAGUAAAUAGAGGAUAUUUAAACCUUUUUUACAGACAUCAACUUUGAAUCAAAAGAAUCAAACAAAAGACAAAUCAACAUUUCUUUUAAUCUAUUUGUAUUUCUCAUGCACUUUGUUUUCUUGAAUUUAAGUUCUCCUUUUUUGACUUCAAAUAUCACCACUAUUUUUCUUACCUAUAAAUACAUGCAACAAUUGCACUCUUAUCCUCACACAAAUUCUGUGCCAAAUUUCAAGAGCAAACCAAGAAAAGGCUGCAAAUUCAGCUUUUCAAUAUCUGCUUUUGAUCAAUCGAAAUGGCUUCACAAGUUUCUCAAAUGCCUUCUUCAUCACCCCUUUCUUCCAAUAAGGAUGAAAUCCGUCCCAAAGCCGAUUUUCAGCCUAGCAUUUGGGGAGAUUUCUUCCUCAAUUGUCCCGACAAGGUAUACAUACAUAUCACCAUAUUGAUAUAAUCUUAACAUAUUAUUUGUUCAAUUAUUUAGUGAUUCAAUAUGAAGAAAAUUUUCAUUGUUUUGAGCAGAAUAUUGAUGCUGGAACUGAAAAACGCCACCAACAAUUGAAAGAAGAAGUGAGGAAGAUGAUUGUGGCACCAAUGGCUAAUUCGACCCAAAAGUUAGCCUUCAUUGAUUCAGUCCAAAGACUGGGUGUGAGUUACCAUUUCACCAAGGAGAUCGAAGAUGAACUAGAGAAUAUCUACCAUAACAACAAUGAUGCCGAGAACGACCUCUACACUACAUCUCUUCGAUUCCGACUACUCCGAGAGCAUGGAUACAAUGUUUCAUGCGGUAAUUAUUGGAACAGAAACAUAGUGUUUUUAAGUUUCUUGAGAAUAUAAUAGCAUGGAAUGUUUGAUAACGAUAUUUCAUUUUGGGUAAUUUCAUGUCAGACGUAUUCAACAAGUUUAAAGACGAGCAAGGGAAUUUCAAGUCAUCCGUGACAAGCGAUGUUCGAGGAUUGUUGGAACUUUACCAAGCUUCCUAUUUGAGGGUUCAUGGGGAAGAUAUAUUGGAUGAAGCAAUUUCUUUCACCACCAACCAUUUAAGCCUUGCAGUAGCAUCUUUGGACCAUCCUUUGUCCGAAGAGGUUUCUCAUGCUUUGAAACAAUCAAUUCGAAGAGGCUUGCCAAGGGUUGAGGCAAGGCACUAUCUUUCAGUAUACCAAGAUAUUGAGUCCCAUAAUAAGGCUUUGUUGGAGUUUGCUAAGAUCGACUUCAACAUCUUACAAUUUUUGCAUAGGAAAGAGCUAAGCGAGAUUUGCAGGUAUGUUUUUUAAUCUCUUUCACCCAUUUUUUCUUUUUCAUCUUAUUUAUUUAUUUAUUUAUUAGUGGAAGGAGGGUUGAAUUUAUUGGAGACAUCAUUCUCAGUAUAGGAGACAAGUUGCAAAUGCUAAUAUUUGAAUCUUAUUAAAUAGUACAAGUUAAAAGUGAUGGCAUGAACCUUGGAUUCAUCUUUUUCACCUAUAUCAUUUUACUUAUAAAUAUUUUAAUAUUUGAGGUUGCCAAUUGACUUAAAUCUAACAACAUGAAUGUGAAACUAAUUGAAACAUUGAAUAUUAAUUGUGCUAAUGGGGUUUUUUAUGAUAUCAUUUUUUAGGUGGUGGAAAGAUUUAGACUUUCAAAGAAAGUUGCCAUAUGCAAGAGAUAGAGUGGUUGAAGGCUAUUUUUGGAUCUCAGGAGUGUACUUUGAGCCCCAAUAUUCACUUGGUAGAAAGAUGUUGACAAAAGUGAUAGCAAUGGCAUCUAUUGUAGAUGAUACAUAUGACUCAUAUGCAACAUAUGAAGAGCUCAUUCCAUAUACAAAUGCAAUUGAGAGGUUAGAUUUCUUUAAUUUUGUUGGUAAUAGGUUAGGUUUCUUUAGUUGAAGUUAACAUUCAAUAAUAUAUUACGAGGAAUGAUUAAAUAUAACGUUGAAGUUGGAUUCAGGUGGGAUAUCAAAUGCAUAGAUGAACUUCCUGAAUACAUGAAGCCGAGCUACAAGGCACUAUUAGAUGUUUAUGAAGAAAUGGAACAACUGGUGGCUGAGCAUGGGAGACAAUAUCGUGUUGAAUAUGCGAAAAAUGCGGUAUGUACAUCAACAAACAUUUAUUUUGUACAAAAGAGAUAAGAUCUUAGCUAAAUUCUAGAUUUGAAUAAACAACUAACUCGAAUAACAAUAUAUAAUCAUUUAAAUAUUAUUAUCGAAUUUGAAUUGAUAUUAGUGAUAAUUGUUGGGAUUUUUUCGCUUCAGAUGAUACGACUUGCUCAAUCUUAUCUUGUGGAGGCCAGAUGGACUCUUCAAAACUACAAACCAUCAUUCGAGGAGUUUAAGGCUAAUGCAUUGCCAACUUGUGGUUAUGCCAUGCUUGCUAUUACAUCUUUCGUCGGCAUGGGAGAUAUCGUAACACCAGAGACCUUUAAAUGGGCAGCCAAUGACCCUAAGAUAAUUCAAGCUUCCACAAUUAUUUGUAGGUUUAUGGAUGAUGUUGCGGAACACAAGGUAUAAUAAUAUAUUUAGAUAACCACAGGAAACCGAACUCUUAACUAAAUAAUUCAAUGUCUUUGUAACAAAAUCAAACGAUGGUUUUUAUCAUGAUCUAAAAAAAAAUAAAGUUUAAUGUUUAUAUAUAAAAUGUUUAGUCUCAAAUUGAAGAAUAAGAAAAGAAAUCUAGUUUCAUUUUAGGGCUUUUAGUGAGGAAGUAUUGUCAAUAAAUGUAUUUUAUCGUCACAAACAAAGGUAGUUUAAUAAACUGAUAGAUUUUAGGGUAUAUAGUGAUAGAAUAAUUUUGAUUUUAUUAUGGCUGCAGUUUAAGCAUAGGAGAGAAGACGAUUGCUCAGCAAUAGAGUGUUACAUGGAAGAAUAUGGCGUAUCAGCACAAGAGGCAUAUGAUGUAUUCAACAAGCAUGUUGAGAGUGCCUGGAAGGAUGUGAAUCAAGAGUUUCUGAAACCAACAGAAAUGCCAACAGAAGUUUUAAAUCGUAGCCUAAACCUUGCAAGGGUGAUGGAUGUACUUUACAGGGAAGGAGAUGGAUAUACAUAUGUUGGAAAAGCGGCUAAGGGUGGAAUCACUUCAUUGCUUAUUGAACCAAUUGCACUUUGAAAUUUAUAUUAAAUUUUCCUCUUCAAGCAUCUUCCUUAAGAAAUAGUUAUUAAGUUCUAAUUAAUAAUGUUGUAUAAUAUUCAUAUAUAUUAUCAAAGAAAGUCCGAAUCGAUUGUCUUUGUACUCAUUACCUUCUAUUAAUUCAAUAAAGUUCUUUUCAAGCUUUCCAUUAUGAAAAAUAUUCUUUUUUAUAUUUUAUAUUUACUUAUUUUUAUAUACUUUUUUAUAUAAAAGAAUAUGUGAUGUAAAAGUAGGACGAAUUAUAAAUAUUGGAAUUAAGAUAAUAAUAAAAAUCCACUAUCCCUUACCACUUUAAGUUUAUUGACAUAAACUUUGAACUCGUUAUUUAUUUAAUUUUGAUGAAGUUUGACAUAUAAAAUACAUUGAUUAAGUUUGACAUAUAAAAUACUCACUAUUAAUUGCGGCUUAAAAAUCAUCAAAUUUGUAGCCAAUCUUAAAGGAUUAGUAGUCAAUUUCAAAAUAAUUAUUUCUUAAAUGGAAUGAUCGGAAUGGAUUAAAUUGGUUGAUUGAUUAAUUUUUUUAUCAAGUUUAAUUAGGGAAAUAUUUUGUUUCAGAUAUUGGAGUGGAUGAUUUCCAUAAAAUAGAGACAUAGAUGUGAUUGAUCAGACUGACAGUACAUCGGACAAGAACCAAGUAGAAUAAAUUCUAGAUCCAUUUAUGGAUUUAUUCACUUAUGACAUUCAUAGUGUGAUAUACUUUAAUAUUGAAUGGAUAAUUGAAUGGAUAAGGGAGUAUGUAUAUGUGACUCGGAUGCUUUGAUGUAAAUGAAAACAGGUGUUCAAAUAGAUAAAUAAUCCAAAGUUGGUACAUUGGGUAUAUGACUUCUGCAUGAUGUAGGAUCAUUCCACAAUAGUGAAAUUCAUAGCCCAAUUAAGGGGAAAUGAUGAUAGAUGGAAAGUAAUGUGACCAUAGGUCAUUUGUCUUAGAGAUAAAUUAUUUAAUUAGUAAUUGACUUUUCAUGAAUGAAGAUGUUAUGGUUACCAUGACAUAAAACAGUAUCAUAAUGGGAGCACGGGUUUAUCUCAAAGAGAUUAAGGAUAUCCUAUGAGAGUAACAUACUUAUGACAAGGUAUUUGAAUGAACACUUAAUUAGUAGAUUUUAUAAUAGUAUAUAAUAAAGAAGUGUUCAAUCAUGGUACUUUAGUGGAAUGACUCUAUAAUUAAAUAAUAUUGUAAUUAAUAGAUGAAGAGUCGAAACUUAAUUACAAAUUAUUUGAGCCAUAAUUUUAUAUGUUCAAUUGGUCUCUCUGUUAGCUCAAGAUAAGUCAAAACAAAUUGCAUGCAAAACCAAUCAUAUGAAAUGAAUGAAAACAAUGAAAUAAGAUAAAUAGAUUGCAUGUAUACUAUCUGUAAUGAAUGCAUUUUCUCGCUAAUUACAAAAGAUGACUUAUAAAUUAAUUUAACUUCUUUAUAUUAUUAUUUAAUUAAUUGUAAUUAUUUAGAAUUAAUUUAAUUUGUCAACAUGGAUUUAUUGAAAGGGAUAAUUAAAUAUUUUUCCUCCUAGAUUCUAAUACGGUAAAGUUGUGUGACUUCAACAAAAUUAGAAUUGGGUUGAGAAAAGAAUUUAAUUGUGAAAUUAAUUUAACUAAUUAGUUAAUUAAAUUAAGUUAUUAAUUAAUAUUUUAAGAAAUAGAAAAUAAUUAUUGGGUUAGAUAAAUUAUAAAUAUUAGAUAAAAAUCUAGAUAACACAUAUAAUAGUACCUAAUACAUGAAAGACUCAAAUUAAGCCCGGUUUAAUAUAAGGAGUAACAAACCCUAAUACCCUAGGGGUGCCACUACCCACUCCUUAUUCUACUUCCAAGUAGAAUUUAUAUUUUUAUUAAAAUAUAUAUAAUUAAUUACACUUAAUUCGAACAAAACUCUUAUACCAUAUCUCUAUAAAUAACACAAUUUUGAGAGCACCAUUAUUUUGUCGAAAAAUAGUGACAAUUUUAUUUUAUAAUAAAUUUUAUUUUUUGAGAAAAAUUUAAUUUUUGGUUAUAGAGAGAAUUAAUUUUCCCUUUUGAAAGUUAAAAAAAGUUGUAACACCCCAAGAUUUGGGAAUUCCUAAAUUUGGACGCAUAGUUCAAAAGUAAUUUGUUCGUUCAAAAGUCCUAAGUUGUAACACAUGCAGAAUAAAUUAUUAUGAAGAAAGAAAGAUAUUAAUUUCAUUGAAAACUUUGAAUUAUAAAUAGACGCCUUUGGUGAAAUUUACUUAAUUCCCUUUCAAUAUUUCAUUUCAAUUCUAAUGUAUUAGAUUUUCUUUUAAGGCAUCUAUUGGAGCGAGCGUAGUAACUAAUUUUUCGUAUUCUGUAGGUUCAUUAAAGGAUAGAUGUUGACUCUAAAUUUUAAAGCCGCUUCAUAUUUAGGACCCAUAAAAAAAACAUUAUCAUCUCACUUAACUCUCGUAGUUAAUGUAUUAGAAUAUUUUAAAUGAUGAAUUUAAAUAUAAAUUUUUAGUAUCGACUAAAUCAUACAGCUACGGAGAUUACAAUUCAAAUUAAAAAAUAUGUUAAAUUAAAUAGUGAAAAAUACGUUAUUCAAAGAGUGAAGCUGUCUUGUUUGUAUGGUUAGAUUUUAUUAGAAUUUUUUUUAUAUAUUUCAUGCUUAUUUUAUGGUUUACGUUUAUCAGUUUUCGUUGUUUUUUUCAAUGAAUUUCGUAACUAUACAGUGAGAAUCCGUCACUAAAGUUGACUAAUUUGUCAUUUCCGAUGAUUCAAAUGACUUUUCAACACUCUAAGUCUAGAGUCAAUAUUUUAUUGCUUUUUUUUAGAUGGCUGAAAAUAUGAUUAAUGUGCCUUUCUUUUCUUCCUUAAAUUAUGUCAUUAUGUUAAUUAACUUCUUUUUUUCAUAUUAUUUCAAUAUAAUAUAUAUUAGAAUAAAUUUAAAAAAUCAAAAAUCAGUUUUGAGUAAUUAUUAUUAUUUGAAUAAUCUCAUUAUAGGUUCUGGUCAUAUUAUUUUUAACACAAUGGUUAAAACUAUCCAUAACCCCUCUCCAACGAUAAAUAAGACUCAAACGCACAUACUCCUGUAUUGACAACAAUAUCCAUGUUAAUCGAACUAAAAUUUAAUCGACAUAGCUAAUUUUUUUUUAAUAUACGAUAAAAGAUAAACCAAACUUUGAUCUUAUUAAUCCAAACUCAAACAUGAUUAUCUUGAUUUGAUAAUAGGAAAAAAUUUAAAUUAACCCAAAAUAACUUAAAUGGAAAACACCCAAACUUUAAAACUCUUGCAAGUAUUUGAUUGAAGAUUGUUAAUUAACAUUUAAAAAAAUUGUUUUACGUUCAUUACAUUAUUUUUAUUAAGCUAAAAAGUAAUUAAUGGUGUAUAUUUUAAUGUGAUCCAACACCAUAUGUUAAAAUUUAUUAGUAUUCAUUUUCAAGAUUUGGUUAUGAUAUUUAAUUUCGUUUAUCUUAUACUCUUGUUUUCUUUUCCCAAGGAAUAUUCAAUAAAUGUUGCCAAUGUAUAUCUCAAAAUAAUGACUAUGAUUUGAAAUAAAAUAAUGUUAGAUGCAUGUACCUUUCUCUUUGUUUCUCUAUUCGAUUUUUCUUAAUGAUAAUUAUAUCUACCAUUUGAGUAUUUAAUCAUUACUAGGGGACUGAAGGUAGAAAAAAUAUUUUCAUUAACGUUUAUGUAAGAAUUAAAUAAAAAAAUUUGAUUAAAAUUGUAAAGUGAAAUAUUUAAAAAUUAUAAUAUAAAUUUAUCGAUUCUAUAUAAAAAUAUGUGAAAAAGAUAAAAUCACCCUCUGACGAAUUUUUAAAACCAUACGAAGCCGCCACCAAUUUCUUUUAAAGAGUGGUUGACUGCAUAGAAAGUUUAAAAUCAUUAAAACAAAUUUUGAUGGGCGAAACUAAAUCUGAGUUUAAGAGCACGAUUAUGCGUCAGAAAGAAAGAUGUUAGCAUCCUCAUGACACCCAUUAUUAAAGGGAUACCAAAAUAAUCAUGAGUAUUUGUAGAUUGGAUUAAAAUAACUUUAAUUCUAAUAUUUAAAAACCAUUGCUCAUAAUAAAAAAUAAUUUUUAUUUAUAUAAAAUGAAUUUUUACUAGAUCCAAAAUGGUUGGUAUCCUUUGAGAUAAAUAGUAAGAAUACAAUAAUAAAUUAAGCUCUCAACGUUUAUAUUUUUGUCAAUUUGGCCUUUUUUUUUUCAAUUAAAUUUUGUCAUUAAACUUUUAAAAAGAGUUGAAUCGCUUUUCUUUACUAGAAAUGUUGAUUAAAACAUUAAGUUUUUAACAACGUUGGCAUGGCAAUCUAUGUGUACUUCACACAACAAUUAAUUUAAAAAUAUUCAAAAUUUAAAAUUUAAAAAAAGUUAAUAAAAACUCAAAAGAAAUUUGCAUGAAAUAUAUGUAAAUUGUCAUGUGAGGUAUCAUGUUUAAAACAUUUAAUGGUUAAAUUCAAUUGUUAUUGAAAGAUUAAUGGUUAAAUUUAACUUUUUUUUAUAAGAUUGAUGACAAAAAAAUAAAGGUUAAAUUGAUAAAAAAAAAAGAUAAACAUUAAAAACUAAAUUUACGAGUAUGCCUUUAGUCACAUUUGUGGGUGGUACAUAUACCCAAAACACUUUGUUGGGUACUUUACUAUUGAGGUUGUCCACGAUAACAUAUAACCCACAUGUGGUGUUUCCACUUUUGAAACCCAAAAGAUAUAUCCCAAGUGCAUGUUGCAUAGAAGACUCAAACACGCACACAUCCUAAUAACACAAACAAAUUUUGCAAUCUCUCACAUGAAAUAAACAAAAUUUGCAAUCUCACACUCUGAAGGACUCAAGAAUAGUGAGAUUCCAAGAGCAUGCAACCAUACACCUAAAACCAUGAAAUUAUUUACCUUCAAUUCGUGUUUAUUCGAAGUAAGAUUUCAUCGUAUGCAAACGAGAGAGGGUUACAAUACAAAGUAGAUCCUCUCUAUAUAUAUGCUCCCUUCUUGGUUCUUCUUCUACCUCACUUGUAAGCUUCCUGUCUUUCUCCUUUGAAUGCUUCACUGUUCUCUUCACCUCUCUCUUUUUUCUUAUUACCUUUUUCUUUCUCUUCCCUUGCAAAAUGAGGGAGGAGGUCAUGCCACCCUUAAAUGUUAAUAACAUUGACAAAUACCAUAAAAACCAAAAAAUAAAAAUAAAAAAGAAUCAAAAUUUAUAGUCAAAAUCAAAGUUAAGGUCAAAAAUUAAAAUCAACCGCCGAAACUUAGAGCAAUAUUAAACUUGGAUUUUUCAAAAUUAAACUUGAAAUAUGGUUACCUGCGGUAGUGACUUUAAAAUCGAGUUUUUCCCGAAUAAGAAUGAGUUACAAUACAUAUAAAUAAUAAUUUCUUAACUAUUUUUCUUUAAAUUUUAAAUUAAAUUAAUAUUUAAUUGAUUCGUGAUACCUAUUUAAAAUUUUAAUCUAAAGUAAAUAUAUCCAUCAAUAAAUGUCUUAAUAAUACUAUCACUAUCUAUAUUUUUAGUAAUUAAAAUUAAAUUUUCGAUAAUGAUCCAUUUAUAUACGUAUAAAUUUAAAGUAAUUUUACAGUUUUUUAUAUCUCUUAAUAUGAUUAAUAUUCUAAGUAUUUAAUCGUUAAAAUUAUUAUUUUAUUUAUAUAUUCUAACUAUUUGUUUUAGGUAAAAAAAAUUAACCAUUCAAUAAAUAUUAAUAUAUAUCUAUAGUAUUUUAGAUUGAUGUGAUGAAGAUAUAUAUUAGAUUAAUUCAAAAAUAUACAUGCAUGACAAGUAUAAUUAUAUCAAUAAAUCCGACGGUUAAAUUGUUACAAUAUUAAUCUUAAAAAGAGAUAUGAAAGAGUAAAUCACUGUAAAUAGAUCUCCCAAAAUAAUUUGUAGUUAAUGUCCCAAAUUUCCAUAUAUAUAUAUAUAUAUAUAUAUAUAUAUAUAUAUAUACACGAUAAUGUGACCACUAGAUAGACUAUUUUGGACAUUAAAUGACGUACCAAAAAAGGAAAGAAAAAAAUAAUUCAAAAACGACACACUCUCCAUUGAUAUUUUCAUUUUAAGGUUGUAUUCUUUUGACUUAAAAAGAUAAUUAAAAUUAAAAAAAAAAUACAAUAAUUUUAUCGUGUUAUUGAUAAAUAUAAUAUUUUAGGAAAAUAUGGAAUAUUUUACUUUUGAAUUUCAUAUGGAUAAUAAAUGUGUAUAUAUAUGAACUCUUCAAGGAUAAUUUAAUUAUUAUUUAAUAAGAAGAUUUGGUAACUAACGUAUUGUUUUGACUAAAAGGACGUUUAGUAUGAUGGAAAGUUAUCAUUUUUUAUGACAUAUAAUUGGUUAAAAUGUGAUUCAAAUUUAAUUUCCUUGGAAUGUAACAUUCUCUUUGGAGAUACUUUCCUUAGGUAAUGGAAAGUGAUUCCCUUGAUAAUUGGUAAGAAAGUUACUUUCUCAUAUAGAUCGAAAGUAAAAAGAAUUUAUUAAGACAAAAUUAUAAUUUUUUUUUCUAUUUGUGUUUACGAUUAAAAUUUAAAUUGAAUGUAUUUUUUAAUAUAAAAUUUUUAAAUUAUAGUUUUUCGAUGAUAUGAAAUUUUAGUAUCAAGAAAAGUGCUCAAACGAAAUUUAUUUUCGAGUUUAAAAGAAAUAUUUCAUUUCUUAAUGCACAAAUACUUGCUAGCUUUUUUAUACAACAAUAUUGAUCCAUAUCUUCUACAUCUUUGGAGAAAAAAGGGAGGUGCAAGAAGGAGAAAAUAAGGCGGCGAGCAUAAUGGUAAAACCAGGGAAGAAAAGAGGAUAAUGUCAUGUGCUUACUGUCUCUAGUGCUUGAAACCAUUUUGAGCUAUUUUUUUCUUUGAAUCCAAACCUUCCUAAGCCUUAGAAUGUUACAAGCCGAGAAGACCUAUGUGACCUAAGCAUUUCCUUUACAUGAUCUUCUUGACUUGUUUAUAGUUAGCUUAUUGAAAGCUUUGGAUUUGCAUGUUGUGUCUACUAUAUAUCUAUAUAAGUUAUAUUGAUGGAUAACAUAAUUGAGUAUUUACUCAUUUGAAUCGCCAAGGUUUAUUAGUUUUUUAACUUAGUUAACUAGGUAGAUUUGCUUUAGGAGUACUUAAGUUAGCUAAAAAUCAAUCUUAAAUUGCAUGUGAAAUACGUCUUGUAUAAAUUCAAUAUUCGAUUGUCAUGCUUCUUAUUGUUCACCAUAUUCCAAGGGUCAUCUUAUGCAUGUUUUGUGUGUUUGCUUGUGGACAAACAACAACUUAAGUAUGGAGGAGUUUGAUCUAUCGUAUUUAUGUGUUAAAUUAAGCUAUUUAUUCUUGAGUAUUUUAUAUCGUCUGUUAUUACUUUCCCACAAUUAUUAGAUUUAAUACUUAACAUUAGUUUUUAUUUCGUUUUUAUGUUUUCGGAAUAAAAUGACAAGUUUAUGACAUUAGUAACUUAAUCUUUGAGUUAAGCUUGGUACAGUUACUUGGUUGAUGUGAAAAUGAGAAGAGGAGCCUAAACUAGAGCAAAGGUUGCGACACCAAUGCUUCCAACAUCAUCCGAGGAGUGAGACUUCAAUAAAUUGCACAUUUGUGGAGAUUACUUCCAUUGUUGCGACACCAAGGAGUUGAUGUCGCAACACCAACCUUGGUGGUUUUAACACUGGGCUAGCAAUGUCGCAACAUCGAUCAUAGCCUCUAAAGUUGAAGAACUCAAGUUGCCUGAAGACAAUGUCAUGACACCAAAGGCCAUUGUUGCAACACUAAAAUACCCAAUAACCCAAAUGUGUAGACUAUCAUAGGUGUCGUGACAUCGACCCUUGACGAGGCAAAAUAGUUGAGGGUAUUUUAUUGUCCAACAACCUUCAAAUUAGAUUUUUAAGGGGGGCAUAAUUAUCAUUUUUAGGUUAAGUUAGAAAAGACUAUAAAAACUACUUUAUAAGUCUUUUUGUAGUAGAGUUGUAGGGUAGAACAUAUUUCUACUUUUCAUCUUUUUAGAUUAUAUUUAUUUUUCUUUUCUUUUCUUUCAUUUUCUUUAGAAUAAUUUUAGCUAUAGAUUUUCUUCUCUUUUAUCGAGAACUCUGUAAAUGGAGAUGAUCAAGCUUGUGGGCUUCAUCGUAUUUUAAUCUAUUAAUGAGCAUUUUCUCAUAUCCUUAUCUUUUAUAUUUUAUUUCUACCAUGUGUUUAAUAAAAUGCUUGUGUAGGAUUUAAGUUUUAUUAUAUGCUAAAUUGGUUGAUGGUUAGUUGAUGAAAGUGGUCCUUUCUUGGUCUUCCUAAGCCAUCAAGAUGUGAUUAUGCCCAGAAAAAGGUGUCAACCAUUUUUUCUUUGACGAGGAGAGGGAAGCUAUCUUUUGGGCAAGCUUUAUUGAGGUUGGUGAAAUCCAUACACAUCCUUCACUUGCCAUUAGACUUCAACACCAUGACUAUAACACCUCACACCCGACUCGAUUGUUGGAUCCAAAUGCGUGAUGUCACAUUACGUUACCGAAACAACUCAAACUAUCUCAUUUUAUAAUAAUAAAAUUUAAAUCAUAAUUAUCAUAUAAACUGAUUUAAUCAUCAAACAUACUCACACAUAUGCAUUCAUAGUGUUUAGGAUUCAAUUCAUCAUGUUAUGGGGUUAUGCAAGGUUAAAUUUAGAGUUAGGACUCAAAUCCAAACUCAACUAUCAAAUUUCAAUGUUAUGUCUCGAGAUAGAGGACUUCUUGUUUUCAAGAUAGUCCUCAUUUUAUUUUAGGUAUUUUUUCUUCGAUGCCAACAUGUCUCGAGACACUGGAGGUAGUGUCUUAAGGGAAGGUUCUUUGCGUCUCGAGGCCAACCUCCCCUGUUUCAUUAAUUUAGCUUCGAUGUUUAAAUGUCUAGGGACAAGGGUUCUUGUCUCGAGACUUGAAACAGAGCAAAUCUAAUUUAGCUUCAAAGUUUACUUGUCUCAAGACAAUGACCCCUUGUCUCGAUGCUUGAAUAGGAUUGUCUCGAGACUAGCUUGCCAAAUCUUGAGACACUAAACAUAUAAGUUAAAUUAUAAGGUAAAUUUUGUUCUUAUGGUCUCGCGACAUGUUCCUACUAUCUUGCGACUCAAUGGUAAAAUAGCUUUAAAUGCACAUUGUCAUGUGUCCAAACCAUACCAAAUGGCACAUUAAAUAUACCAAAAUUUUACAUCAAAUUAAGGCCAUAAAUUAAACACAUAUAAACACAAUUAAACAUCAUCAAAUCAUAACCAUCAAUGUAACAUCUUUUAAACAACUAAUUUACAUAAUCAAACUGAUAUAAACUAGAAUAAUUAACUACUAAUUAAAUAUUAAAAUUCAUCUUAUAAAACCUUAUAGGCCAAAUACAAAAUAUACCAAAAUUAAAACUUAAGCAACAUGCCUAAAACAACCUAGGUACAUGCCAUUUCAACUCAAACACACACACACACACAAAAGAGGUAAUAAGGCAUGUUCUGAGUUGAGUUGUUGAGUUGGAUGCUGGGCAUUAUAAUCUACAUCUACUAACGUUCAAUACUUGCACAUAAAAACAAACAUAACCAUACGUUGAGUAUCGAAUACUUAGUGGUGCUUGUUGAAACCUUCUUUUUUUUUUUUGAAAAUGACUUUUAUUUAAAAAAAAUAAAAAUGGAGUCGCCACUGAUCCUUUUUAUUAGGUGUAAUUGGGCCACCUCAAAUUUUAACCAUCUUAAUAAAAUAUUAGAUUUUUCUAAAAUGAUAAUUUUUAGCCUACGAAAUCCAAGAAUGUGGGUUCGAGAGUCGGUUAUGUAUGAGGAAGGAUUAGCACCCUCAUAAUGUCCAAAAUUGGUACCUAGUUGGUUACUUAAUAUUGUGAUGUCGAGAAUUGAAAAUUCGAAGCAAAUUUAAAAUACGAUCCCUCUUUGUAUGAUAUUAAAAUAUCGCUUAACUAAAUUAAUUUUCACAAAAAGGCCUUCUUUCAAGUUAAUCGAGAAGAAAAGAUCGUGCCCUGUAAGUUAGGACACGAUGCCUUAAAUCCUCGAAAACAAGAAUAAUCGUCAUUUGAUCAUUACUUAAAUCUCGUUUAUUUUUUAUUUUUAAAAUAGAUAUUCAACUAUUUGGGUUUUAGAAAGAGGCCAUACUCCAUAAGUUAGGAGCACGACUCCUCUAAUUCAAAAAUAAUGAACACUGCCUUGGUUUUCCUUUAAAAUAUUUCCUAUUCAUAUGGUAAAACGAAUGCAACCUUUUAACAAUUGCUUUUUAAUUUAUCUAGGCCUAGUAGUAAAAUGGAUGAAUAUGUUUAACGCGAUACACGGCAUGGAUGUUAGCAAAAUAAAGUAACAUAGUAACGGGUAAAAAUGAAAUGAUGAUAUUAAAAUGAUAAGUAAAUAAAUGAACAAAUCAAUAAAUCAAUAAAAUAAAAAAAUGAUAGGUAAUAAUAAUACAACUAUAAUGAUAGUAAAAAAAACAAUUUAUAGUAAUAAUAACGAUAAUCAUAUUAUAAUUACUAUAAUAAUAAUAAUAAGGGCGAAAAAUGCACAAUAAAAAGGAAAUAUAAGUAACAUGAAUUUUAAUUAUAAAAAGGGUAAAGAAAUAAUAAAUAAAUAUAUAAAAACAAUUCAUAAAAGGUUAAAAUUAAAUAAACCAAGGACUGAAUCGGAACUAAAAUGAAAUUAAAAGCAUAAAUUGUAAUAAAAUAAACAAACAAGUAAAUAAAGGACUAAAAUAAGAAAUGUGAAAAUAAACAAGGCUCAAAUUGGUAAUUAUUCCAAACCCCAGGACACAAGUCAUUCCCCGGCAAAUGAAGGACUAAAUUGAAAACAAGUUAAAAUUAAAUGGUGUAAUCUAAAAAGAAAAAAAUUGAGAUUAGGACCAUAUCAAAAAGAAGGUUCAAAAGUGGAAGGACCAGGACCGCAAAUAGACCACUCUACGAAAACACAUGGAUCCCAAGGGAUCCGGAUCGGGUUGGCGGGCCAAGCUUCAAAACGAAACCGUUUCGGGACUUUUGAACACCGGCCAAAACGGUGUUGUUUAGUCUUGCUUAUAUAAAUCAAAAUUUUUUUAAAUCUGCUUAGGUUUUUAAAAAAAAUUUUGAAACCCUUUCUUUUUCUCUCAGCCUUUCUUUAGGUCCGGCCUUUGGCCCGCCGAUGCUCUGCCAUGGCCACCGAUCAUCGGCGACAACAACCGUCCCCUCCGAUGGCCGGAGUCCAAAAAAACCCAUUUUCAGCCCUUUUCAACCCUAAAACCCGGAUCUAAAGGCAAAUGCCUUUAAAAAAACAAAAAAAAUGAAAAAGAUUUCGGAUUUCCCCCUUUCUGGUCGCGCCCUUUUGUAUCCCCUUUUAUUGAAGCCCAGACGAAACCUAAUGGGUUCGACGACUCUCAAGAUCGAGGGAGACCCCCGACGGCGGCGCGAGACGAAGCCAGGGAAAAGGUUUUAUAUUUAUUUAUUGUUUUUGAAUCUAAAGAAACAAAGUAAAUCACCUUUUUUUUGCUUAAUGUUUGUAUCCGAUUUUUAUUUCAAUCUUCUCAGGCGGUGAGCACGCUGACGUGGUGAGGCGCGGUGCAAAAGGGGAUCUAGGGUUUUUAGCUUUCUGAAAAUAGUUUAGGUUAUGGGCUAUUUGGCUUUAGGUUAUUGGGUAUUAGGUUUAGCAUAUGGGUUGGGCUAUUGGGCUCUUUUUGUUUGGGCCAAUCUAGUUUGUAAAUGGACUUAGACUUUUAUUUUUCAUUUUUAUUUUGUUUAUUUAUUUUUGGUUUCUAUUUGGGUCAGAAAAAAUUGGGCCCUUACAAUGCUAAUAUAAUUCAAAUUCAAAUAUAUAUUGUGUUAAGAAUAAACUAAAGUAAGUAUAUAUAACAAGUAUCAAUUACGUAAAUGAAUACUACUUUAACUUAUCAUAUCAUUUUCCAACUUUCAUAUUCAUUUCACAUUUCAAUAUAAAUUUCAAUGCUUAUUCAUUUUUCCCCUAUUAUCCAAUGAUAGAUAUUAGAAUGGAUACUUAAAUCUGUAUAUAUCAAGUAACUCCACAACCCUUUUGGAAACUAGGACUAUUUUAUUCUGUCAUCCCGGGUUGCUCGACAACGAUGAUUUUCAAUAUUUUUCCCACUAUUUAUUCAACCAUUCUGGAUUUCCCGACAACGAUGGCUACUAAAUCACUAUAUUGAUGACCCUAUGGCAUUCCAACUAUACCCGAACUACGUCUAACAUCGUUUAAUGGGGCAUUAACAUCAUAUUCACUGCUCUAACAUAUAUCAUUAUAAUACCAAUGUCCAAAUAUUCAUAGUCACAUCCAAAGCAAUUUCAAAUAUUUAUCACAUAAUUCAAAUAUCACCAAUCAAAUCCAUUAUUCAAAGUUGAUAGGGAAAGAUGCCAUUAAGUCAUAUUGAUUACAACGACUAAUUAAUCUACGAAAGUAAAUUGGAAUUGAAUUACAAAAGCACAAACCACAAUAGUUAUUUGUGUUCACUUUUUCUUUCCCCUUCACCUUGGACAUUCCAACAUCGUCUUUCACUACGAUCGAUAAUACAGUAUAAUCAUACAUAUCUUAUUUACCAAAAUUUUAUCGACUUAACAAGAAUAUAUAUUAUUUUUAUUAUAUAUUUAUAUAUAAUGUUGAGUAUGCCUCAUAUUUUAGUCAAAUUUGAGAGAUAAUCUCACAGUUAAACUCUGUUUAUUUGUUUCAGUCAAACUCUGACUAGUCUAUAUUAUUUUAUUAUUAUUUGACCUUCAAAUUUAGCCUAUAAUAGGCUCUUUUACAACCUUAAAAAAAAUACACUCAUUAAAUAUUAGAUCUCAUAACACUUUUGAAGAAUUUUGUGUUUACGUUUUGAGGGUUCUUUGUUUUCGAGUUUCGAGGUUUAGUUUUUUAUCUCCAUCUUUUGUACUCUUCAUUCUUUUGUCAUUAUAGUAAAAUCAUCUUUGCUCGUGGUUUUUUUAUCCUCUUUGAAGGGGUUUUUCCACAUUAAAUUUGUGUGUACAAUUUCUCAAUUUCUUCUGCUAUUUUUACUUGUUCAUUGCUUAAUCGGGUUAAUUCCUAACAAGUGGUAUCAGAGUUAGUUCGAUUUUCAUAGAUCAACUCAUUCAGAUAUGGCAGCAACAAAAUUUGACAUUGAGAAGUUCGAUGGUGUCACAAAUUUCAAUUUGUGGAAAGUUCGGAUGAUGGCAAUUCUAGUUCAAACUGACCUGAAAAAGGUUGUUACUGGGAAAAAGCCUGAGAAUCUAGAUCAGACAGAGCGAGAAGAGCUUGAUGAAAAGGCCCCUGUCUACAAUUUAGUUGUGCCUCGCGAAUAAGGUAUUACAGGAGGUAUUGAUGGAGAAAAACCUCAUCCGCCUUGUGGAAAAGGUUAGAAACUCUAUAUGCGACUAAGUGUCUAGAUAACCAUUUAGUAUUGAAACAACGUAUUUUUACGUUUCGCAUGAACGAAGGUGAGCUUCAUAGAGAUCAGACUAGUCAAUUUAUUACUCUUUUGAAUGAUUUAAAAAUGUUGAGGUUAAGAUUAACGACGAAGAUCAGGCUAUGUUAUUAUUGUGCCUUUUACCCCCUUCAUACAAGUCUUUCAGGGAAAUCCUAAUUUAUGGUAGAGACAAACUCUCGUUUGAGGAUAUGAAGGGUCAUUUGUUGAGUAAUGACAAACUCGAAAAUGAUUUUGGUUCGAAUAGCAAGGCAGAUAGGCAAGCUUCCAUUUUGGUAGCAUCAAAGAAGUGAGACAGAAUGUGUCGCUAUUGUAAAAAGUUAGGUCACAUCAAAGCAGAUUGUUAUAAACUGCGAAAUAAAAGGGAUGCUGAGAGUAACGAGGAAGAUGUAGCUACUGCUAAUUUAGAUGACGAAACCAGUGAUGAUUUCUUGUUAGUGUCAAUAAGCGAAAGCUCCGAGCUUGCGUCUGAGUGGAUCCUAGAUUCGGGAUGCUCUUUCCACAUGUGUACAAACAGAAAAUGGUUCUCCACAUACAGUUUGCUUGAAGGUGGAGUUGUACGCAUGGAAAAUGAUUCAUCCAUUAAGGUAAUCGGUAUUGGUACUAUUAAAAUUAGGAUGCACGAUGGGACAAUUAGGACAUUCUUAGAUAUCAGGUAUGUACCUGAUUUACAAAAGAAUCUCAUCUCCUUGAGUAUUUUAGACUGGAGAGGUUAGAGAAUCAACAUUGAGUCGAGCGACAUUAAGGUGUCUCGUACGGCUCUCGUUUAGUUAAAAGGUAAAAGAACCGACAAUCUUUAUAUUAUGACAGGUUCUAUAGUGAUUGGUGAAAUCAGACAUCCCUCAUCUAUUACGAAGUCGAAGUCAACUCAUUUAGAGUGGAGGCAACUUGGUCAUAAGAGGGAAAAAUGUAUGAUCAUUUCGUUGAAGAAAGGCUCUCUUUUGGAUGCAGGUUUUGAAAAGUUAGGGCAUUGUGUUCGUGAAAAUCAGACCCGUGUUAGUUUUGGUUUGACAGUGCACAAUUCGAAGGCUAGAAGUCUUCUAGCUUCUAAGCAUAUAUUCGACUUAGUUAAUUCCCUGCAUAGUUCAAGAUAGUCCCAUGGCAGGCUUUGGCAAAGAUGGAGUUGUGGAAAUACGAGUCAAGGUGGAGAUUUGUUGAGUAUGCCUCAUAUUUUAGUUAAAUUUAAAAGAUAAUCUCUCAAUUAAACUCUGUUUAUUUGUUUCAGUCGAACUCUAAUUAUUUUAGAUUAUUUUAUUAUUAUUUGACCUCAAAUUUAGCCUAUAAAUAGGCUAUUUUACAACCUUAGAAAAUACACCCAUUAAAUAUUAUAACUCAUAACACUUUUGGAGAAUUUUGUGUUUACGUUUUGAGGGUUCUUUGUUUUUGGGUUUUGAGUUUUAGCUUUUUAUCUCCAUCUUUUAUACUCUUCGUUCUUUUGUCAUCAUAGUAAAAUUAUCUUUGCCCGUGAUUUUUUAUCCUCUUUGGAGGGGUUUUUCCAAAUUAAAUUUGUGAGUUCAAUUUCUCAUUUUCUUCCGCUAUUUUUAUUUGUUCAUUGUUUAAUCGGGUCGAUUCUCAACAUAUAAUAUUUUAUACUUAAGAUUUUAAGAACAUAUCCUAUUUUAGGUGUAAUAGUAUAACAAAAGAACAUAUGAUAGUGGUAGUAUUUGAACUUGUGGGAUUAAAAUAUUGUACUUUUAAUUUAUCGAAAUAACCUCUUGUAUAUUAUCUUAACCAAUAAGUGAUUUUGAGAUUUCAAGUUUCUUUUUUGAAUUAUAAGAGGAGGGUAAAGUCUUAAUAGUGAGACGACUAGCAUGAUUCAAACUCAAGACACACCUGAGACGAUAAACACUCUGACCAUUAGGCUAAUAUAGAAAUUUUAGUCUAUAUUAUCCUUUCUUUUGUAAUUUUCAUUUACCUUAAAAUAAUAACUGUUUUUCAUAGUUUUUAAAUUCAUCAAUUUAAAAAUAAUUCUAAAACCCUAAAGAAAGUUGGUCGAAUAAGUAAUAAAUUUAUUUAUUUUAAAAUGCUAACAAGUAAACAAAUACAUUUGAUUACUAAGGAUUAAAAGAAACAUGAUAAACAUUUUUUAUUAAGUAAAAUUUUAAAAUAUUAUACCAAAAAAAAUUAGUAUUUCAAAUACUAUAGAGUCGUAUUAUUCUUGCUUUCCACUAAUAUUUCCUAAGAAACUAGUAUCAGUAAUGAAAAUAUUGCCCAUAAAGACUGCUGGUGGACUGAGGACUUAAAUUCAAUCAAGAGCAUGUCAAAAGGAAAAGAAAAGAGUAAAUAUCACACAUGCCCUCAAAACAUUUGACAUCAAUUAUUUUGAUAUUUACAUUUCGAUUGGUGAAGAAAAAUCGAACUACAUUAACUGGUUAAAUUAAGAAUUGAUAUUGAAUGAUAAAAAAAAUCAGCACAAAAUUUAAUUAGAAAAACCAAUUUUUGAUAUUGAGUUUUUUUAUAUUAAAAUUAUUUUUCUGCAAGUGAUCAGAUUAGAAGUUUAAACUUAAUAGCCUUUUAUAUAUAUUAAAUAUGAUAACAUUAAAUCAAGUACAUGAAGAACAUAUAUAAGCAAAAAUCUGUCUAUUGAAUUAUGUCAUGAACAAAAAUCAAGAGCAUGCUAUGUAUACAUAUAGGGGCUUCAACACAUCAUCUUGCUUUCCCACAUUCACGCAUAUCUAUAUAAACAAGUACAGGGACCUUUAUUCAAUACUUAAAGUCUGCAGCCAUGCUAGACCGACUGGAAGGAACAAAACAAAUUUAACUAAUAAAUUACUACUUUUUAAACAUAUUUAAUAUCAAAAUUAUAUUUAAGAUUUAAUUUAUAUUUUAAUUAAAUAAUUCCGUUUGACCAAUCCAACCGAUAGAAUAAUUAAAUAACUUAAAAUUCACAUCGAUUUGUUACAGAUGGGGCCCUGGGAAGGACCAAAAAGAUAUUUGUCUGAAAGUUUAAAGAUAAAUAGAGGAUAUUUACUUUGUAACACACAUUUAAACAUUUAUCUACUAAUUUUUUAAAGACAUCAACUUUGAAUGAAAAGAAUCAAACAAAAGACAAACCAAUAUUGCUUUUAAUCUAUUUGCAAAUCUCAUUCAAUGGGCCCUACAUGCAUUUUGUUCUAUAAUUGGUUUCAUGCAUUUAUGUGGUCUUUUUUUGACUUAAAAUCACCAGUAUUUUGUUUUUACCUAUAAAUACAUGCAACGAUUGCAUUCUUAUCCUCACUCAAAUUCUGUGCCAAAUUUGAAGAGCAAACCAAAAAAAAAGCGGCAAAUUAAGCUUUCGAAUAUUUGCUUUUGUUCAAUCCAAAUGGCUUCACAAGUUUCUCAAUUGCCUUCUUCAUCACCCCUUACUUCCAAUAAGGAUGAAAUGCGCCCCAAAGCUGAUUUUCAGCCUAGCAUUUGGGGAGAUCUCUUCCUCACUUGUCCUAAAAAGGUAUACUAAUAUAUGAGCAUAUUGACAUAUAAUGUUAACAUAUUAUUUGUUUAAUUAUUUAGUGUUUCAGUAUGAAUAAAAUUUGCAUUAUUUUGAGCAGGAUAUCAAUGCAGAAACUGAACAACGCCACCAACAAUUGAAAGAAGAAGUGAGGAAGAUGGUUGUGGCACCGAUGAAUAAUUCAACCCAAAAGUUAAACUUCAUUGAUUCAGUACAAAGACUGGGUGUGAGUUACCAUUUCACAAAAGAGAUCGAGGAUGAACUAGAGAACAUCUACCAUAACAACAACGAUGCCGAGAACGACAUCUACACUACAUCUCUUCGAUUCCGAUUACUCCGAGAGCAUGGAUUCAAUGUUUCGUGUGGUAAUUAUUGGAACAACAUAGUGCUUUUAAGUUUUAUGACUAUAUAAUAGCAUGGAAUGUUUGAAAACGAUAUUUUGUUUCGGGUGAUUUGAUCGCAGAUGUAUUCACCAAGUUUAAAGAUGAGCAAGGGAACUUUAAGUCAUCUAUGACAAGCGAUGUUCCAGGAUUGUUGGAACUUUAUGAAGCUUCCUAUUUAAGGGUUCAUGGGGAAGAUAUAUUGGAUGAAGCAAUUUCUUUCACCACCAACCAUUUAAGGCUUGUAGUAGCAUCUUUGGAUUAUCCUUUAUCCGAACAGGUUUCUCAUGCUUUGAAACAAUCAAUCCGAAGAGGCUUGCCAAGGGUUGAGGCGAGGCACUAUCUUUCAGUAUACCAUGAUAUUGAAUCCCAUAAUAAGGCUUUGCUGGAGUUUGCAAAGAUUGAUUUCAACAUGUUACAACUUUUGCAUAGGAAAGAGCUAAGUGAGAUUUGUAGGUAUGUGUUUUUGAAUAUUUUUCAUCCAUUUCUUCUUUUUUCACCUUUUUUUUUUCAAUUUAUAGGAGGCUUCAUCCUCAGUAUAAGGGACGGGUUGCAAAUACUAAUAUUCAAAUCUUAAACGUAUUAAAUUACAUUAGUUAAAAGUGAAGACAUGAACUUUGGACUCAUCUUUUUCACCUAUUUCAUUUAACGUAUGAAGAUAUAUAUAUAUAUAUAUAUAUAUAUAUAUAUAUACAAACUUGAGAUUUCCAAUAGAAUUAAGAAUCUAACAAUUUACUCUUCAACAACAUGAAUGUGAAACUAAUAAAAACUUUGAAGAUUCAUUGUGCUAAUGAGGUUUUUUAUGAUAUAUUUUUUAGGUGGUGGAAGGAUUUAGACUUUCAAAAAAAGUUGCCAUAUGCAAGAGAUAGAGUGGUUGAAGGUUAUUUUUGGAUCUCAGGAGUAUACUUUGAGCCCCAAUAUUCACUUGGUAGAAAGAUGUUGACAAAAGUGAUAGCAAUGGCAUCUAUUGUAGAUGAUACAUAUGACUCAUAUGCAACAUAUGAUGAGCUCAUUCCCUAUACAAAUGCAAUUGAGAGGUUAGAUUUCUUUAGUUAGAGAUUAACAUUCAGUUAUAUAUUACGAGGAAUGAUUGAAUAUAACGUUGAAGUUGGAUUCAGGUGGGAUAUCAAAUGCAUAGACCAACUUCCAGAAUACAUGAAACCGAGCUACAAAGCACUAUUAGAUGUUUAUGAAGAAAUGGAACAACUGAUGGCUAAGCACGGAAGACAAUAUUGUGUCGAAUAUGCGAAAAAUGCGGUAUAUACAUCAAGAAAUAUUUAUUUUAUACAAAAGAGAUAAGACCUUAGCUAAAUUUUAUAUUUGAAUAAACAAUUAACUUAAAUAACAUUAAAAUCAUUUAAAUAUUAUUAUCGAAUUUGACUUGAUAUUAGUGAUAAUUGUUGGGAUUUUGUUGCCUCAGAUGAUACGACUUGCUCAAUCUUACCUUGUGGAGGCCAGAUGGACUCUUCAAAACUACAAACCAUCAUUUGAGGAGUUUAAGGCUAAUGCUUUGCCAACUUGUGGUUAUGCCAUGCUUGCUAUAACAUCUUUUGUCGGGAUGGGAGAUAUCGUAACACCAGAGACCUUUAAAUGGGCUGCCAAUGACCCUAAGAUCAUUCAAGCUUCCACAAUUAUUUGUAGGUUUAUGGAUGAUGUUGCUGAACACAAGGUAUAAUAAUAUAUUUAUAUAAUCACAAGAAACUAAGCUCUUAACUCAAUAAUUGAAUGUCUCUGUAACGAAAUCAAAAAUGGUUUUUUAUCAUGAUCUAAAACCAUUAAAGUUUAAUAUUUAUAUAUAAAUGUUUAGUCUUAAAUUGAAGAAUAAGAAAAAAAAAAAGAGUUUCAUUUUAGGGUUACUAGGGAGGAAAUGUUGUCAAAAGGUAAUUUAUCAUCACUAAACAAAUGUAGUUUAAUAAACUGAUAGAUUUUAGUGUAUAUAGUGAUAGAAUAAUUUUGAUUUUAUUACGGCUGCAGUUCAAGCAUAGGAGAGAAGAUGAUUGCUCAGCAAUUGAGUGUUACAUGGAAGAAUAUGGUGUAACAGCACAAGAGGCAUAUGAUGUGUUCAACAAGCAUGUUGAGAGUGCCUGGAAGGAUGUGAAUCAAGAGUUUAUGAAACCAACAGAAAUGCCAACAGAAGUUUUGAAUCGUAGCCUAAAC
rnacentral:lncRNA from 1 species